rnacentral:lncRNA from 1 species
AUUUGAAUCAUUUGAACGAUUUAUUUUAGAUAAAGAUGUGCAGAACUUACUUGAAUUACAGACCAUUUUGAGUUAGGUACAAUCUUUCAAUAUUUUGAUUUUACCAUGGAACCUUUCACUUUGUUUAAUUUGAGUUAGUCAACGAUUCUUUCACUUCAAAAGUUGAAUGCAUCGUUUAUUUUUACAGCUUUUGUUAGUAUGCUUUAUAUAAUUUUUGUAACUAUAAGUCAUUAAAGUAAAUAAUUAACUUAAAAUUUAAAAUUAAAGUAUUAUUGACUGACUCAAAUUAAUGAAAUAAAUUAAAAGAUUGGAUAGUAAAAUAAAAAUUUUGAAUGAUUAGAUAGUCGAUUAAAAAUAGUCCAUAAUUUAGAUAAAUUCUCUGCAUUUUACCUACAAGUUACUAUUAUUAUUAUCAAUAUUACUGUGCAAAAAAAUCAAACAAAAUGAUGAUAGGGAGUGGAGGGGUCAUUAAUACUUGUCCUCCUCUCCAUUGUCAAAAAGAAGUUUGACCUUUGUCUAAAUCAAUGGCCAAAGAAUAAUAGGACCAUUUACAUUAUUAUUAUUAUUAUUAUUUAAUCUUAUAGACAUUAAUGUAACACAACCAAGCAAUGGUGGAGUGGUGGAGGGGUGUUGCCUUUGCUUCAAUCUCAAGGCUUCUAGAGGCAAUAACAAUAAUAAUAAUAAUAAUAACUAAAAUAGAAUCCAAGAAAUAAAAAUAUAAUAUCUAAGAUGAUGGGGACAUGUGGUGUAGUGGAAUUUAGGAUAAACAAUCUUUUUCUAUUCUUGUAAAAAUUUGCUUGACAACUUUAUGCAUAUGUAUUGAACAGGGAAACCCCAAAAAUGUACUUUUUAUAAUUUUAUGUAUUAGUUUAAAGGUGUUGAUGCUUCACUUGAAAUUUCCAGACACCUGCUUUUUCUAAUUAUUUUUUUACUUUAUUUUUACACUCUUUUCUCAAACUUCUCCAUCUGAUUUCAUAUUAAAUUAUGUGAUUUGCAUGACUAUAUAUAUUUACAAUAAAACAAGCAGUGCGCACAAAUUAUGUCAAAAAAAAGAUCAAAAUUUUUAGAGAUUAAAUAAUUAAAUCUAAAUAGGGCAUACCUUAACUAGGUAAGUUACAUACAUGAAAUAGUUAUCAUAAUUUAGAAGAUCAGACUUAUAUUAUUUGCAUAUAUUCAUAAUAAUUUAUAGGAGUGCAUGCACAACUGAAAAUUUUCAUGCAUCAGCCAUUAAUCUAUAUAUAAAUUAGCAUUUGUUAUAUAAUAUUAAUUUCUCAAAUAUUUAAAUAUGACUUGUCUUAAUUGACUUAGUCAAGUGAGUGCAUAUUAAAAUGCACAAUAAAUCCUCUGAGUCAACAAAUUAAGAAGAAGCUUAAUGUCUGAUAGAGAAGAAGAAGCUACCACUCAAGCAAAAAUAAAUAAAUAAAUAAGUAAAAACUUCUAUUAAUGCAGUGAAAAGUCAAUUGAUGCUCUAAUGGUUCCAAUAAAAUAGAAGUUAUAAUAAGUAGCUAGCUACUAUGCAUUUUUAUCGGCAAAAUAUAAGCUAUCAAAAGCCUGCUUGGUAUUGAGACUCAUCUAAUGUUAUUAAAUAAAACAGAGUUAUGACGGCGGCUUAUAAAAAUAUGCUUUUCUAUUUUUUUUAUAGAAUAUCAGUAAACAUAUCGUAACUAACUUAUUGCAAUUUGCACUACGUGAUAUUACGCAUAGAAACAAACAAAAUAUUAUUUUAUCGUAUUUUUUCAUCCUACGCAAUAUAAUCUUUCUACAAAGCCAAAAAAAUAACCCUAAAUAAUUGAUAAGUGCUUUUCCAAACAGUUAUACUUUCUUAGCACUUUUCUAAAUAGCUCCAACCAAGUGAAAGUUAGUUCAACUUACUAUAUGUGACAAGUGCUUUUGACACAAACACCACCACUAUAUAUAUUGACUUGAGCCAGUUAGCAAGCUUUCCAAAGAAGCAAAUGUCCUAGAUCAUCAUCAUCAUCAUCAUUAAUACACAUGCAUUACCAUGUCACACCACACUAACUAUGGUGGUGCACCACUCACCACUCUCCUCCCAUAUCUUGCCUCUUAUGAUCUCCUCCCACCACCAAAGGGCUGUUACUCUACAUGUGUCUCCUUGCUCAUAAAUAUAUAUAUAUCAAACACCUCACAAUACCUAUCCACUAACCCAUCAUAUGUCUGUGUACUUUGUUCAUAUAUAUCCUCUUUGCUUUGCACACAAAAUUACCAAACUACCCCUUUGUUUCACCUUGAUGGUAUCUCUAUUUGGGCUAAAUUAUAAGAUUUCCCUUGCACUUUGUCUCUUGUCUUUAUUACUUUCUUGCGCAGAAGUAAUUUUGCUUCGACUUAAACCAUAACUUAAAUAUAUAGAUUAGAAAAGUUGGGAUAUUCUAUCCUUAGAUUCAGAUUCAAAACUUCAUCUCUAUCCUUAGAUUCAGAUUCAAAACUUCAUCUAUAUGUAAACUUAAAUAAAAGAGAUUUUCUUAAUUCCUUUAUAAGAUAUAACAAUUAUUACUCUCUUACUUGUUCCAGCAAUCAUAAAAAAAUUUAGACCUGUUUGACACAAUAUGUGGCGAAAUACACGAUGGGUUCAAAUUAAAGCGAAAUUUUACAUAAGAGGAUAACUGAAACACAGAAUAAAGUGCAAGAGAGAAUUUUAUAAUUUAGUCCUUAAUUUAUCAUAAAGAGGGCAUUUUGGUCAUUGUGAAGAUAUUUAAAUGAGAGAAUGGGCCCUACUAUAUAAUUAAAGUGUAGCACUAACCUUAGUGGGGGAGAGUGAUGUUAGGUACAUAGCCAAUUGCAUUAAUAAGAAGUUUUGUUUCCUUCCUAGCUUUUUUUUCUUUUUUGGACUUUGCUCUCCAUGAUAAGAGCCUUCAUAAAAGGAGAUCAACUCAUGUCUCUUUUUAUUGUAUGCUAACAAAUGGUAUAGAGAGAGAAAGAGAUCCAAGAGAGAGAGAGGACAUGGAAAGAGUUGCAUCUCUUCAUUUGCUAUUGCUUCUAUUUUGCUUCUCUUAUCUCAUCUUCUCCUCCCAUGCAAUACCUUCAACAAGUAAUUCUCUAAAAUGUUUUUUUUUCCCAAAAAAAGAAAAAAUUUACCUCUACUCACUUACUGGUCAUUCAUAAUUCUCUAUCUAUAAUGUUAGCUACCAAUUCAGGGUCUCAAAGAAUGGUGAAGAAAGGCUUUCCACCUUCAAGUGGCACAACUCAGGUGAAUCAAUUUUUGUAGAUGCAAUAAUUCUUCUUCUGUUUUAUAGCUGAAAUUCAAGUUUAACAAUUAAUGUUUGAAGACAAUUAAAUUUAGUCUUCUUCCGAAUUUAUGUUUUGAAAGAGAAAAUUAAUUAUAGUGUCUGCUUUUAUUCAGCUUUUGCUUUCGUUCUAUAACAAUUAUCUUUAGUAGAGUGUUUGACAAAUAAAAAUGUUUAACAUUUAUGAUUCUGAUAAAAAUAGAAGUUUCUUGAAAUAUUAUAUUAAUAUAAUGAUUGAAAUAUUCUAUCCUAAUUUACGUUUUGACAAAGAAAAUUGUUUUUUUUUUUUUGAGAGAUAGGUAGCAUGUUACCCGCUUCGUUUAUUUCAUUUAGAAAUAAACUUAGCUGUAAAUGUAAAUCAACUAGGAUUCGAACUUGGGUCUCGAGUAAAUCAACUAGCAUUACAAAGAAAAUUAUAAUGUCUGCUUGUACUGUCUCACUUUUGCUUCUGCUGUCUAUAAUAGUUAUGUUUAGUGAAGCGUUUGAUAAAUAAAAAUGCCUAAUGUUUCUGAUUAUGAUAGAAAGAGAAGUUUCUUCAAAUAUUCUAUUAAUAUUUAGGGAUGCAAACGGGGCGGAUUCGGGGGCGGGAGAGUUCCCCCACCUCCUGCUCCAUUUCUUAUCGGGGCGGGGCGGAUUCGGGGCGGGUUACUUUUCAUUUUAUUUUUGGCUCCCACUUACCGCUCCAUUCGGAGCGGAUCGGGGCGGGAGCCGGAUUUUUGACGGAUCGAGGCGGAUUGAAGGAAGAAAAGAGUCUCCCACCUCCCGCUCCAUUUACUUGGCGGAUCGGGGCGGAUUCGGGGCGGGUUAUAUUUUUUUAUAUUUUUUGUUCCCACUUACCAUCCCAUUCGGGGCGGAUCGGGGCGGAGCUCCACCAACCCGGAUCCAUUUGCAUCCCUAUUAAUAUAAUGCUUGAAAUAUUCUAUCCUAAUUUACGUUUUGAAAGAUAAAAUUAUAGUAUCCUCUUGCAUCUCACUUUUGCUUAUACUCUCUAUAACAGUUAUCUUUAGUGGAGCAUUUGAUAAAUAAAAAUAUCUAAUACUUCUUAUUCUAAUAGAAAGAGAAGUUUUUAAAAAUAUUCUAUUAAUAUAAUGCUUGAAAUAUUCUAUCAUAAUUUAUGUUUUGAAGGAGAAAUUUAUAGUGUCCGCUUGCAUCUCCCUUUUACUUCUGCUUUCUAUAACAAUUAUCUUUAGUAAAGUAUUUAACAAAUAAAAAUGUCUAAAACUUUUGAUUCUGAUAGAAAAGGAAGUUUCUUAAAAUAUUCUAUUAAUAUAAUACUUGAAAUAUUCUAUCCUAAUUUACAUUUUGAAAGAGAAAUUUAUAAUGUUCACUUGCGUCUCGCAUUUGCUUCUGCUUUCUAUAAUAGUUAUCUUUAUGGAGUAUUUGACAAAUAAAAAUGUCUAAAUUUCUCAUGCUGAUAGAAAAAGAAGUUUCUUAAAAUUUUCGUUGAAAUAUUUUAUUCUAAUUUACGUUUUGAUGGAGAAAUUUGUAGCGUGUGUCCCCCAUUUGCUUCUGUUUUCUAUAACAAUUAUCUUUAGUAGAGUAUUUGACAAAUAAAAAGGUCUAACAUUUCUAAUUCUGAUAGAAAAAAAGUUCUUUUUAAAUUUUUUUAAAAAAGGACUAAAAUAGUUUACUUUGUGUAAAUCACUGUAGCUUAUGUAACUAUGUAUACUUUGGAAGUAGUAAGUAUUAUUUUGCAUCACAAAAUAGACAAUUUUUUUUCUUUUUUCCUUAGGAGAUGAUAUUAUAGUUAAAGAUAUUAAUACAAAACAAUACAAAUUUUUCUCAAACCGCUUAUUCUGAAAUAUUUAUAGUUAAACUAGAAUAGGAAAAAGAAAUCUAAUGAUAUACUAAAUUUCAAAUAGUGAAAAAUUAAAAUGAGUUUCUGCUGCUGUAAUAAAAAAUAGAUACAAGUGUUUCAGUAAACAGCUGCACAGAAAUAGCACCUUCGUAAAAUCUCUAGCCCUUUUCUUUUUUCUUUUCUUUUAUUACGUUAAAGGUGAGAAUAGUUUUCACUUUUGUUUUUCAAAAACAAGAUGUUUCUGGUGAACUUUGAGUUUAUGAUUUGUUUUGAAAUGAGCAGGUCAGCAAGCGAGGAAAUCGAUUCGAAGAAAUCGAAUUCCGCGGAUUCGGGAGGAUGGAUUUAGAGAUCGAAGACUAUCCGGGAUCGGGCGCGAACGAUCGUCACACGCCGAAACCGCCGGAGAGGAGCUGACUCGAAAAGAGUUUAAAUUUGAAUCAUUUUCUCAGCAAAUGAAAGUCCUUUAAAGAAGUAAUUUUGACUUUUUUUUAACUGCUUAUGCAAAAAAAAUAAAAUAAAAUAAAAUUUGUACUGCAGGUCCAUCUAGUUGAACAAAUAUAUAUAUAUAUACAAUAAUUAAUAUAUACUUAUAAUAGUUGAUACAUAAAAGUAGUGAAGGAGAGUAGAGGAAAUGUGACAACUAAGUCAAGGUGGUUUUAAGAAAGAAAAAUAUAUUUAUGAUUAAUUAUUUGUAGUGUAGACUUGUGAUAUUUUGUAACAGUUAUAUAUUAUGUGUGCCUUUAUUUUAUUUUUUGAAAUAAACUUAAAGCUGGAAUUGUGAAUUAAUUAGGAUUUGAACUUGAAAUCUCGAGUAUCAAUCAUCAAAUUAUUUGCUACUUGUACUAGAGACGGUCGAGUAUAUAUAUAUAUAUAUAUAUAUAUAUAUAUAGAAUGAGGCUACUAUGCUAUCGGAAGCACGGAGCCUUCCGUGCUUCCAGCUUGUUUUCGAUGUUGCGAUUUUCGAAUCGUCGAUCGGCUCUGUUAAACUUGAUCUAGAGUAUUUGGAGUACCUAGAAAAUAAAUUUUAUUAUUUUUCGAUGUCAUUUGCCUAGUGAUCGAAUAUGCUCAAAAUCAACAAAUUUCAAUGGCCGUAGUGAGUCGUUUGCAAGUUUAACGGUGUAGAAAUAUCCAAAUCACGUGAAAUUUUGAUAGAAAAUUCUUUAUACUAUAUAAAACAAGAUCAAUAUCUUUGAUUUAAAAUUUUAAUGUCAUAUUAUUACAUUUUGUAAGAUUUUUAUUUUCAGCCGUUGAUUUUGAGCCCCGUCGUUCACUAGGCAAAUGAUAUCGUAAAAUCAUAAAAUUUAUUUUCUAGGUACUUCAAAUACUCUAGAUCAAGUUUAACGGUGCCGAUCGACGAUUCGAAAGUCGCAAUAUCAAAAACGAGCUGAAAGCACGGAAGGCUCCGUGCUUCCAAUAACAUAGUAGCCUCACUCACUCUCUCUCUCUCUAUAUAUAUAAUAUAUAUAUAUAUAUAUAUGGCUUUUGCUUCUAUUUUCAGCAACAACUAUUUUUAAUAAAAUAUUUAAUAAUUAACAAAUUUUGAACUUCUAGUUUAUAUGGUGUGAAAAUUAGGUUUCGAACUUCUGAUUUCUCGAGAGAAACCUUGAUAAUAGCACUUCUGAGCCAGCACUUCGACAAAUAACACGUACAAUUGAUUUUUCUUGGCCCAAUUGUAGGGUAUACUAACCUUUUGAUGGAGCGAUAUAUGCAAAAUCUCGUUUGAGGAGGCAUUAUAAUAAUUUCCUCUCAAGAACUUCCCUAUAUAACAAAAUCAGAAGCACGGAAUUAGAAUAUCCGCAUUUUGUCCCCCCAAUUAUAUUUUUUAGUUUCCACUACAGUGGAAAUUUUCAGCUAUUUUGAACUUUCAAAUGCCCCGUUAAAAUUGACAUAAUUUUAAGGCGAAAUAGAAACAAAGAUUAGCCUAUUUGACAUGUACGAGCAAAAUAUUCAUCGAAUUUGAUUUUAAUUUUUCGACAUUAAUUUUUAACUAACGGUGCAUGCAAGUUCAUCACUAGCUCAAUAGAGCAUGUCACCAUCUAUCUAUUGAUACAUUGAUAUUCGUGAAAUAAUUUUUUUAAUUAAUUUUAUGCACGCAUCAAAACAAACAUUUCGUACACUUACUGUUUGGUUCUGAAAUAAAUUGUUUCAUUUGUUUUACUAAAAAUUGAGUUAUUUUUAGACUAAAAUACAGAGAUUUUUUUAAUUUUUAAAAAUUUAUAUUUUAUCUUCUUAAAAUUUGAGAAAUUUUUUCAAAAGAUACAACAUUAAUGUAGAUGAUAAACUAACCAGAUCUUUUAUAAGAAAAAAAUAAUUUUUUAAAUAUGUUAUUUUGAAUGAUAUUUUCGGUGUAAAUUAUGAGAAAUAGACGGAAUAGUGAUGAAAUCUUGACGAAAAAUAUUAGAUAUAAAAUUAUAUAAACACCGUUCUCUAACCGCUUAAACUUUUAGACUACAACGGUUCUUAAGGUUUAGAGUACAACGAUUGAUUGAUAUGGUAUCAGAGUAUGGGGUUCUGAGUUCGAAUUAUGUCAGGUUUCUAGCAUUAUUAAUUUUCUUCCAUUUAAUUCAAUUCCACGUCAUGGGUGUUGCAAAAAGUCUUUUGAGUCUAGACGUGAGGGGGAGUGUUAAAUAUAAAAUUAUAUAAAUACUAUUCUCUAACCGCUUAAAGGUUUAGAGUACAAUGGCUGUUUUACAGGAAAAGAGAGUAAAUGUAACAACUUGAAAUAUUAAGUGGUAAAUUAUAGAUUUUUGAAAGUUGAGAAUGAAAAGGUUAAAAAAAAUAUUUAUAAAUUUUUUUUCCUAAUUUAGUCUUAUUUUUAAAACUAAGAAAAAAAAUUGACGUUGCGUGGGAUUAGAGUAAAAAUAUGAUUAAAUUACCAAAAUGCCCCUGAAAAUAUGAUUGGGGGACAGUUAGGGGUACGUUUAAAUGGUAUCUUUUGGCCACGUACGAACUCUAUCCCCCCAAUAAAGAACACCGUGUGUCGGUGUCAUUGAAGGAUAAAUGUCGCUGCUCGUCCCCGCAUAGAGAUUUGUAUGCCGUGGAUCCGUAGCCGUUGAGUUGGACGAUCGGACGAUCAGAAAUAGGUCGCAUAUGUUUUGUAUGGACUCGUCCGUUGGAUCGAGGGGCCGUACUUAUACGGAGUCGCGUAGAAAUGUUCAAAGUGAUACGCGAAAGAGAUAGGUAAAUAUGCACUGAGACCCUUCAAGUAUACAAAAUUUUAAGAUUGCGCCUCAACUUUAUAUAUUUUUUAAAAUACUUAAAAUUAAAGUUUAAGGGCAUAUUUUAAAAAUAGCAUGUAGUGAGCGGCGUCCAAGCAUUUUGUUGAGCGGUUUUCAGAAUUUUCAAUAAUGUAAGGGGUCUCGUACAUUUUUGCCCCUCCCUCUUCUCGAUAGUGGCUUUAGCUAUAAAAUGAGAGAGAGAGAAAGAGAGAGAGAGAGAGAGAGAGAGAGAGAAUUUAGGGUUUCUCCACUACCCGAUGGGCGUGUGAGUGGAUUCGAUUGAUGUGUCGGUGGAUCUGAGAUCCGUUUCUUCUUCAUCGUCUUCGCCUUAGUCGGUAUGAAUCGAUUGAUCCCCUAACAACGUUUCUCUCGAUCUCUUUUGAUCUCAAUUUCGCACUUUUUUUUCUCUUUUUUUUGAGCUGAAUUGUGUCGUUUUCUGCAGUAAUUUGCUGAUAUUUGUAGAAUUUCAUGUCAUUUUCAUCAUUUUCAUCGUAAGAAUCAACAGGGAUUCGAAUUUGUUUUCUGUUAAAUUAUGUGAAACAACCAUUUUUUGAGAGCUUAAGCUUAUAGAGAGAAUGGUGUUUUAUAUUUUUAUAUUCAGCAUCCUCGAAAAAAAAAAAAUCUGCUUUUUGGAAGAAAUUGAAGUUUAAAUCGUCCAUUUUGACAUGGUUUAUGUGAACUAAUUUUGUACUCGUUCUAGUGGUUCGUGGAUUUGGGUUGAUUCAAUUUCUAAUUAUCAAUUUAGGUGAAUUGGAGAAUUUCGUUGUAAAAGGCGCCACCUUUGCUUUUAUAUUUGUCCAUCAUAUGGAAGUUCUUAAAUUAGAUCGAGUAAAGGUUUUUUCAAUCUCUAUUUUACUUAUAAAGGAUUAAUUUGAAUAUUUACUGAUUAAUCCUACGCACUAAUUGUAAGCUUCUGCUAAUUCUGUAGAUGAUUGGUAAGUGGUAAUUUCUUUCAUCAAAGCUGAUUGAGUUCGAGAAGUGGAAAGUGGUGAUUUUUUUUUUAAAAAAAAAUUUCACUCUGGUUCCGAAUUCUUCAUUUGAAAUAUGUUUGUGCAAAAUGUCCAUCCCUUGAUUGUAGGAACUGAAAUCAACAGAAAAUAGAGAUUGUCGAAAACAGAAAUAUGAAUGAGUAACAGAUCAGCCAUAAACUUAGUCCUUAAUCCAAACAAAAAAUUUAAAUUCAAACUUUGGAACUUAUAAUAUUCAAAAAAUGUAAUCAUAUUCAUCGGAAAAUAUGAUAUAAUGCUCUCUUUGAUGACAAAAAUCUUUUUAGGUGAAGAAUGGCUAUAAAAGGGAAUUCAGCUGACAACAGGACUAGAAGUUCCUUAUCCAUUAUUAUUGUAGUUGGUCUCUGUUGCUUCUUCUAUGUAUUGGGUGCUUGGCAAAAGAGUGGUUUCGGAAAGGGGGAUAGCAUAGCUCUUGCAAUCACUAAGCAAACCGAAUGCACCGUCUCGACAAACCUAAAUUUCGAGACCCAUCAUAGCGUAGCCAACCUUGACAAGAGUGUUAAUAACUCGGAAACGGAAACUUUCAAACCAUGUGAUGACCAUUACACUGAUUACACUCCUUGUCAAGAUCAAAGGCGGGCCAUGACCUUCCCUAGGAACAAUAUGAUCUAUAGGGAGAGGCACUGUCCUCCGGAGGAGGAGAAGCUUUAUUGUCUUAUUCCGGCCCCUAAGGGAUAUGUUGCUCCUUUUCCAUGGCCUAAGAGCCGCGACUAUGUUCCAUUUGCUAAUGCGCCUUAUAAGAGCUUGACGGUGGAGAAGGCGGUUCAGAAUUGGGUUCAGUUUGAGGGGAAUGUGUUUAGGUUCCCUGGUGGUGGGACGCAAUUUCCUCAAGGUGCAGAUAAGUAUAUUGACCAGCUCGCUUCGGUUAUUCCUAUUGCUAAUGGGACGGUGAGAACUGCGCUCGACACUGGCUGUGGGGUACGUGAAGUUUUAAUCUUCUUUGAUCUCUAAUGCUAUUAACAUCUGUCAUUAUAAAAACAAGAGCUAUUUAUUGUGUUUUAAAUAUCUAUUGCCUUGGCUUUUGAAACAGCUUCUUUGCUUUAGAAAGCUGAAGCUCCAGAAACCAGCCACUUAGGUAACAAGAAGUUCAGAGCUGUUGGUUGUGGCACGCUGCUAAAAUGAGCUUUUGUGCCUGGAAAGCAGAAGAUCUGGUUUGAAAAUUCUGCUUGUGCUACAGCGAAAAGCUAUUGAGAACCUAUUAGUGAUUCUUCAAACAACUUUUACUAAAGCGGCACUUCUGCAUAAUAAAUUAGCUUUCUGAAAUUAGACAUUUUUGUUGAAAUCGCUUCUGGUUAUUUUGUUUACUUCUAGGUUGCAAGUUGGGGAGCUUACCUAUUGAAAAGGAAUGUAUUAGCCAUGUCAUUUGCACCAAGAGACUCUCAUGAGGCACAGGUCCAGUUUGCACUUGAGAGAGGUGUGCCCGCAGUUAUUGGUGUUCUUGGAUCCAUAAAGCUUCCAUAUCCUUCUAGAGCCUUCGAUAUGGCCCACUGUUCACGGUGUUUGAUUCCUUGGGGCGAAAAUGGUGAGGAUGCUGCUUCAUGUUUUAACUUAAGUUAAAUUGUCUGGUUGUUGUCUUUUCCUUUAUUGUAGGUUGCAUAUAAUAUAUAUCCAAAGAAGGGAAAAUGGUCCAUCGAAUGUAAUUUGUUGAUGUGCAACGUUUACUCUACUAAUUUGCUUUUCUUGUCUUUGAAGAUGGAAUGUACAUGAUGGAAGUCGAUAGAGUUUUAAGGCCUGGUGGUUACUGGGUGCUUUCGGGCCCGCCCAUUAACUGGAAGACUCACUACCAGUCGUGGCAGCGUACAAAGGAGGAUCUCGAGGAGGAACAGAGGAAGAUCGAGGAUUUUGCUAAACUUCUUUGCUGGGAAAAGGUUACCGAGAUUGCUGAGAUUGCCAUAUGGAGAAAAAGAAUAAAUACCGAUUCUUGUCCAGAGAGGCAAGAUGAGCCACGUGUUCCUAUGUGUGAAUCGACAAACCCUGAUGAUGUCUGGUGAGAGUUAAUACUUGGCUACCAUUUUGUACGUUGUCAAAUUUCAAAAAAUAGGUUAAAAGGUAUAGACACUACAUGACUACAAUCCUUACAUUUAAUUACUUCGAUCUCAUUACCAGACCUUUUGUUAUAUUUUAUUUUAGUAACUUCCUGUCAAAUACGGUCAAAAUUUAGCGCUUUCUGUGGAAAAAAGAAUUCACAAGUAACAGAUUAUUCUAUCAAAUUACAGAAUAUUCUAUUAGGGCUACAGAAUAUACAGUUAAAAAAGCUGCAAUUAUGGUUGAAAUAAUAAAUAAUCAACGGUCAGGUAUGUAAGCAAACUUCAGACAUAGUAUUGCAGGGACAUAUAUACAUGUAUAUUUUUUUCUUAUAUUUCCUUUUAUGACUUCAGGUACAAGAAAAUGGAGGUUUGCAUAAGCCGUUAUCCCGAGGUUAGCACUCCCAAAGAAGUUGCGGGGGGCGAACUGAGGCCAUUUCCAGAGAGGCUAAAUGCUGUCCCUCCUCGAAUAGCCAGUGGUUCCGUCCGCAGCUUUUCUGUUGAGUCAUUUCAAAAGGAGAAUUCGUUGUGGCAAAAGCAUGUUCAGGCUUAUAAGAAAGUCAAUAAGUUACUUGACACGGGACGGUAUCGCAACAUAAUGGACAUGAAUGCUGGCGUGGGAAGCUUCGCUGCCGCAAUUGAGUCCCCAAAACUAUGGGUUAUGAAUGUUGUGCCCACUGCUGCCGAGUCAUCUACGUUGGGUGUCAUCUACGAGCGAGGGUUGAUCGGCAUUUAUCAUGAUUGGUAUUUAUUUUCACCUUAUGCUAAGUUUACUCCCUGUGAAACAACCGUUGUACUCUAAAAGCUUAAGCUAUUAGAGAACGGUGUUUAAAUAUUUUUAUAUUUAACACUCCCCCUCACAUCUGGACUCAAGACUUUUUAAUUGGCCCAUGACGUGGGCUUGAAUUAAAUGGGAGGAAAUUAAUAUGCUUGGAGCCUAACAUGACUCGAACUAAGGACCUCCUGCUGUGAUACCAUGUGAAACAACCGUUGUACUCUAAAAGCUUAAGCUGUUUGUUAGAGAACGGUGUUUAAAUAUUUUUAUAUUUAACACUCCCCUUCUCUCUUAAAAUGAUUAAAAUACAGAUAGCUUCUUGGGAUAUCACCAUUUGCAUUUUUGUCCCCUCCCUAGUCAAAACCUGCUUAUAGCUUCUCGAUUAAUUAGAAACUCCUGCAUUACCUUCCCCAUAAAAUAUGAAAAAGUGCUAAUGUUUUAUUGAUGUUGAGAUUUCUCUUCUAUAAUUUUGUAGAAAUAUAAUUGAUUCUUAUACUCGUAAUCAGAAUGUAAUACAAAAUUCACAAAAUGAUAUAUACCCAGUUUUUGCAUUAUUUUUUUUAUUUUUGCACAAGGCUUCUUUUUUAUGUAUUAUAAUCAGUACUGAGCGGUUCUUUAUGUAUUCAUCUUGGUUUAGGUGUGAAGCAUUUUCAACUUAUCCUAGGACUUACGACCUUAUACAUGCCAAUGGUGUCUUCAGCUUGUACCAGAACAAGUAAGUUGAUGCGCAGCUCGACACUCUUUACAUUUCAAGCUGUUAUAAUAAUAAUAAUAUAUCGAAAUCACAAAGCUUUGAUGUUAAUUAUAUGAUCAGUAAAUCCAUUAUCUUGCAAACAAUGGCAAUAGAGGAAAUAGUGAGAUAAGACAUGAUGGCUUUUGGCUUGACAAGGAAUCUUACCCAAAACAGAGUUGAUUGAAAGAACAUACUAGUUGUUUUUGUUAUUUUUGUUAGUUUGAAAUUCAGGAGACCCCCUUGUAAGUAUCAUUAUUUCCACAUUGCCCGCUGAAAUUUGAAACCUACAUGAGUACAACCAACAUCAUUGAUCCAUCAGCAAAGUGAUAGAGAUCAUCUCACUAACACUGACAAAGCUUGUAGAAUAAGGGUUAUCCUGUAUCUUCUAAUGGGCAAAGUGAUAUGAUAUUUAUAGGGGAUUGUCCUGCAAUUAAGCCUUAGUAUUAUUGGGGUUGUUGCUAUUACUAUCGGGUGACCCCAUUGUUGGAUGCAGGAAAUUGUCCUUUUACUAAUUUCUCGUACUUGGUCCGUGUUAAAUUUAGGUGCAAAAUGGAAGACAUUCUCUUAGAAAUGGAUCGGAUUUUGCGCCCAGAAGGUGCAGUUAUAUUCCGAGAUAAUGUCGACGUCUUGAUUAAAGUAAAUAAAGUAAUUAGUGGGAUGAGAUGGAACACGAAGAUGACGGAUCACGAGGACGGCCCUUUUGUCCCCGAGAAGAUACUUUACGCUGUUAAGCAGUAUUGGGUCGGCGGGAGCGAUAGUGCUUGACGGUUAAUAAAGGAGACUAACAUUUUUAUGGAGUUCAUCGGCUACUUCCUGAAGCUGAUUUUAAGACGCACUUUUCAGGCGGAAAAGCUGCAACCAAAUUAGGUGGUUUCACGCAGUCCGCGAGCAGAAGGAAGCUUGGAGUUUUCUGUGUUUGCAAGUUGUAGAAGUUAAUGUAUUGAUGUUUGGUAGUGUUUUAGCUUAAUGUAGUGAUCAUAAUUAUUGCUUCAUCAUCAGUGCCUUCUUUUCUUUUCUUUUCUUUUCUUUUUUUUUUUCCUUUUCUGAGGAAUUUACUUAACUAGGCUUGAUGAUGUAAGCACCGGAUUAUUUAUAAUUUGAGCUGUAAAAAUUGCAUGGUUCAAUCUUAUGGGCUAAAACAUUUCCUGCUUGAAUUUUAAUGUGCUUUGAUGCCCUAAAAAUGUUGAUAAUUUACAUUGAAACUUCAAAGAACUUGCAUACCUUUGCACUGCAUAUGAAUUUAAAAUGUGUUUGCCUUUUCAAAUGUUGACACUUACGACCGCAAUUAUGUGUUGUAUAUAUUUUUCUGUAAACUACUCUGUGCUAGUGUGUGUGAAUUGUAAAAUCCAGAUCCAAAUUUGAUUUCUAACCUAAACAAAAGCUCCUAUGCCCAAUUUUUCACAUGGGGUUUCAUGUCCAUGUCCAGUUACUUCUCCCACCUCAUAUCCAGUUAUAUUUUGUAAACAUAUCAGUGAUUAAAAUCUCAGCAAAUAUUAUUUUCACCGAUGAAACAAAAAGAAUUCAGAUACCUGAAGAUACAAAAUAGAAACUCAAUCUGCAUGAAGACCGAAUUACAUAACUCAAAAUGGCAGGUCUCUAUUCACAUGAAUGACAACAAGCCUGGGUUUUCUUUUUAGAUCAGUUAUCUAGGGUUCUCUUCCAGAGUGUUGGUUGUGAGAGUAAGGCCACUACUACUACAUUGCUCAUCUGGUGUUCUUGUUACUACAAGGCUAGUAUGAAGCAGUUGCCCUGGCCAAGAAUCCAAUGAAGCUGGGUAUCUCGCAUGCGGCCGCCUCACGUUGGAGGGCGCCUCGCCCUCCUCCCGUGCUGGCUCCGACACCGGGAAGAGCUGGAGCUCUCGGGGCGGGGUUGGGCAGACCAGCCCGAUAACGGCAGGCGGAGGCUGCGCCAGUGGCUGGGGGUGAUGGCGGUUGUGGUGGUGGGGCGGUUGGAUCGAAAUUGCAGGGUGAGGGGUGGCGAGACGGCUUAGAGAAUCUGUGCGGUUGGUCCAUACCGGAUGAUCAUAGCCCAUUCUUGCCUGAAGCUCGUUUUGUAGUUCGGUAAUUUGGGUUUGGAGUGCCGUGUUCUCGUCUUUUAGUUCGUUCUUUUCUGUAGUUACCUGCUCAUGAGCAUUAUGUUAGAAUUCCCAUUUGAUGCAAAAAAAACAGAAGGGUCAAUUCCUAUUGUCAAAUAUCCAAUGCAUGGUGAUUAAAGACUCGGCUAAAUUAAAGAAGAAAUGAAAAAAGGGUACAAAUUCGCUCGCCCGUGUCUCAAUUACCCUUACGCAUAAAAAGUUGCAUCAAUUUAACCCUGCAUUUUACUACUGUCCCGAAUAGGUCGAAAAUUUUAGGACAGUUAUUGAUUUUGCAUGUAGUUAUAAAAGUAAAUGAAAGGUGAGGGUUCUCAAUCCAAAAAAGAAAAAGUUCAGGCGUCUGUUUCAGAAUAGCUUAUAGUUGAGGGGUCUCCAUACAUAUUUACCUAAUUACAAAUUGUCAGCAUCUACACCGGCGACCAUUUAGAGCAUAGUGAUACCAUGAAAAUCCAGCACAACAUCACAUCAAAGAACUUACGUAGCGAGAUUCGGUCUGUAGAGCAGCAUUUUCCUUUCUGAGACACUCCACUUGAGAAAGGAGAUCGCGCAAUAUUCGAGUAGUGUCGCCCAAUAUGGAUGCCUUUCCGCUAUUUUGUCGGUCCGAUUCUGCAAAUCAAAAUUUAGUUCUUAUCGGAAAAAUGGAAAACAAAUAGUUCGAAAGUUAUUCUGCAACAACCAGAGAACCAAACAGAAGACGCAAUGUUAUUUUUCAAAAAGCUCCUCUCAUGUAUUCUUUCGUUAUUUACUUCUAAGAUAAUAUAAGGGAAAACUUCAAAAACCCCCCCUGUGGUUUCGUAGCUUCUCACUUUGGCCCCCUGUGGUUUCAAAUGUAUCAAAUUGCCCUCCUGUGGUUUCGUUUUUAUCUUUUCGAUAGCUUUUUUGUUAAUAUUUCAUUAAAUUAUAUACAAAAAACUUCAGAUACCCAUCUAGAUUUAUCAAAUAUUCACUUUAGUGCCCUUUAAUUUUAACUUUAUCACUGAUUUAAGAAAAAAAAAAUAAUGAAAUUGAUAAGAAAAAGAGAAAAAGGAAACCACAGGAGAGCAAAUUGAUACAUUUUAAACCACAGGGGAGCAAAGUGAGAAACUAUGAAACCACAGGGGAGGUUUUUGAAGUUUUCCCAUAAUAUAAUGCAGUUCCAUCUGAAAAUAUCUAUCCAGUUUAUGCAUAUGAUGUGUAGAUUUGGUGCUAUUUAUGCUUAAAUAAACAAAUAAUUGUCUACACAAUUCUGAUUGAGAAAUUAGAUGCUAAUAGAUAUUGGAUUAAAUGGUAUUACACAAAUUACUACCAUUAUUAAAACGAAUGUCGAUAUAUUUCCAUCCUCACAAGGGAUUGAACAGUGGGUAUAGGCUAGAGAGCAUAAGAGACCGCGCCUCAAAUAUAGUUAUAUCUGUUAUAUGUACAACCAAUAUACACCUAAUAAAUGAUAAAAUAACUAUAUUCAGCUGAGAUGCUCAUUGAAGCAGCAAUUUCUACUUAUAAAGCUAUAGAAUAGAAUCUGUGAUAACAUUAAACUGUUAAGUCAUGGUAGCGUUUAUCCAGACGCGCCAAAAAGGAAAAAAAUACAUGUUUAGUUGAGAAAUUAGAGAGAUUGGCAUAAGAUAUUUUAUUCUCAUGAUGAUUGUUACUUUUUACCUUUAUGCUCGUCAUUUGUUUGGCUUUAAUAUUGGGAUUUGCAUUGAAUAGAGAAUGUGGAUAAAACUUUAGAACAUCAGACGAAGAGUCUAGGGAGAAAAGUGUUUCUUUUCUCGCAUAACUCCUUACUCUAACAUAAAAGUUAGAAUUGAUAUUCUGAUGAAAAGUAAAGUUUGACUGGAACAACAAUUAACUUGAGCUUUUUAAUAGAUAGGAUUCGGACCACGCACAAUUAUAACAGCUCUCAAUAAAUGCUGAUUAAGUAGAAUAAAUCACAGAUUAUAAAUAUGCUUACCUAGCAAAUUACCCAGCUCAAGGAAGAGGUCAUUUAACUGGUCGCGUUUAAGUUUCUCUCUCUCAGCUUUGUGUAUUUUCUUCGGGACCUUCCCUUGGCAUUUUCUGUUAGGAGGAGACCUGCAUCAUGGGAAUUUUCAGAUACGGACCAAAAUUUGCUGCAGUGUCAGCAAAUGAGGUUUAUAAGAACUCGAUAAACAAAAAGUUUAUACAAGAUUCACAAGCAGAAGCAUGGGAAAAGUAAUGGUGAAGAGACAAUUUCGGUGAAAAAAACAACAAAAGAUUUCAUAAACAUAUAAGGAAACGGCUGAAAAAAUGAAAUAACUAACAUUACUUUCAUACUGUAAGUAAGCUUUCCUGUUGUUCACUAUUAAUAAUUGCUAAGAACUUGUAUUUGGGGGGAAAAAAAUUGCUACAAGCUUCUUCCGAUGCUAGCAACAUAUUUGGUGAGGUUUCAUCAUGAAUGUAUAUAGAUGCUACUAAAGUGUAGUUUUAUGCGUGAAGUAAGAGCUUGCCACUAUAUUAUUUAGUGGCACGGGUUCAAAACAUAGAAACAGCCUCUCCAAAUAAGGGUGGCGAGAGCCUUGUACACCAGAAAAUCCUUAUGUAACUUAAUUGCAAUAUGCGACUCCUUCCAAAUAUGUACGUAAAAUUUAAGGCUCAUUUGGGCAUGCGGCGUAGCAUUUCACGUUUCACUUGUGUGCACGCUCAUUUGCUUUCCAUUCGGAACAGUACAGGAUGGCAGUUGUGUUCAAUUUUCUCCGUUCGCAACCGCUUAUCCCACUAUACAAGCCGACAUGCUUCUAACAAUGUGUACCGCAUAAGGAUCCACGUACCCUACCAUGCAACUGAACAGAGCCGUAGAUUAACAGAGAAAAGCCCCUUUAGGAAGUAAAUGCCCAAAAGAAGAGGGGGAAAAAAUUACAUAAAACUAUAAUGCGUAUACAACCAAAGAAAUGAAGUUCAUUGUAGAUUACGCUCCGUAAAAGCAAUCGAUGUUUCAUACAAAUGGUCGUCCAAGAUAACUAAAUAUAAAGCACACGAAUGGAUUAAUGAAUUGUACGGUAAGUAAUUCGUAAGUUGCAACAACUAUAAUCAAACUAUGGCGAGUUUUAGAUCUACCCAUCGGUCGAUUUUUCCGUGACACUGUUAGCCGUCGAAGUUGGAUUUUCGGAGACCGUGCUCUGGCUGCUGUCCAGCAUCACGCAAAUCCCCUUUUUCACUUCUUUAUCAUAUAUAACACAAGUUAAAUUAAAUAGAUCAAUAAAUAAAUAAGAAGUAAUUGCAUCUCACUUGAAACAUCCUAUAAAUAGCUACAUCGAAUUCCUAAUACUCUUCCCCUUUUAUAUCAAAUUUUCAGAUAAAAAGUUAGUGAUAUAUAUAUAUAUAUAUAUAUAUAUAUGUGUGUGUGUGUGUGUGUGUGUGUUUUGUUCAUAAAACUCCAUCUUUUGAAGACCAUGACCUUAAGAAACAAAAAACAUUAAAAAAGAUACAAUUUUGUCUAAAAAAUGCGGCUAAAUCAUCAAUAAUUGCGAACAAAUUAUCAGAUUUUUUCCAUAAAUUAAACCGAAUUCAUGAAACUCCUCUCCUCUCUUACCAAUUCUCAGUCACAAACCAAAUCAAAACCCCUGAAUUUCCAACUCCCAAAAUCUAAACACCGGGGCCAAAAAAAUCUAAAUUUAUCAUCAAAACUAGAAACAAUUCACCAAAUUCGCAUCGAAAACACCCGAAAAAAACCCGAAUCAACCCCUCCAACACGGACCCACCAAAUCGCCAUCUCAGAAACCGCGGAAAAGAUUGGGGAUUCGAGAUCGGAACCAUUUUACCUUUACGAAAUUGGGGGAAACGAGAUCGAAGAGGACGCAAUCGAAGGGAGAAUUGAACAAAGGAAGAAUCUAGGGUUUUCGUUUUCCCCUCCUCUUCCUCGUCUUCGACACACUACCACUACGUGUAGUAUAUUGUUGUUUUCGUAGAAAUAUUAGCGUGCACGCGGUUCAUUCGUACGCUCGUGCACCACGUGAAAUAUUUCGGUGUGACAAUACAAUGGACGGUGUAGAUUGAAUCAUACGAGGUGGAGGGAGAAGAUCUAAGGGUGGUGUAUGUUUGUAGGGAUACACCUGGUGUAGGGAAUGAUAUCCAAUCUGAGGAUACCACGUACCCGCGUGUGGCGAACACCCAACUCUACGCCUCCCGUGGGUCCCGCGCCGCCGCAGCAAGUAGUUUGGUGCCACCCGACAGUGGGCCCCGGGUGUAUUUUUCCGCUACGUGGCGCGAAUUUAACGCGGGAGCACGAAGUAAUACGGCUAUAAUACGAUUGCAAUAAAUAAUAAAUUAUUGUUAUACUAAAAUUCGGAUUCAAAUAUACUAUGUGGUUGGAAUAUAAUUAAAAGAUAAUUAAUAUUAUAAUAAUUGAUGAUAUUUAAUAUUGUCGGAACAUAUACAUUGUAUCUAUUUAUGUUUUAAAUCUUUUUUUAUUUUUGCGAACAUUAGUCUCUAAUUAAAAGCAAAAAUUAUUACUGAUAGUUCCUACUAAUUUUUUAAAAAUAUAUUAUUUUAUGUAAAUUAUCGUUUUAUAUUUCUCCUCCAAAUGCUUAGCGGAUUCUAAUAUAUUUUAAACAUGAUUAAAUCUUAUAUAUAAUAAAAGCUGAUUUUUUUUAUUAUAUAGUGAUUAAAAGUAUAAUGCAAGUAAAAUAUUAGAACUAAAAUAUCUAAAUUGAAAGUAUAAGAACUAUUUAAGGGCAUUGACUGUUCAAUGCAUUUGUUAAAAUAAAAGUAUUAAUUGUAUCUCUUUUUAGCCAAAUAUAAGAUGUUGGAUUGAAAAUUGUGCCCAAUAGACAAAAUCUUGAUUGAAAUCUAUAAUAUUUAAAAAAUUUAUAUAUCAAAAAUUAUAAAAUUUAAAUUGUAAUAUUUAGAAAUUAAAGAACUUCUCUUCUUUGUAUAGUGUUGAUCAUUGAGAUUUUGAGACUAUUUAGUUUCCUACUAAUACAUUUGUAAAUCUUAUGAAUUUGCGCUAAAAGUAUCUGUUAAAUUAAAUUUUUAAUCUUAAAAUAUUAAUUAUUGAAAAUUGAGUGCUAUAUUUUUUAUUCUUUAUUUUUUAUUUUUUAUUUUUAGAAGGGAAUAUUUUCCCCUGUCUAAAAGAAGGAUAAGCUCUUUACACAAAUUCCAAAACAAAGUGUGCGAAUUUAAGAAAAAAAAGUGAUUGUAUUUAUCACCUCCUUUUUAUGAACCUCCUCUCUUUACCAAAACUUUACUCUCACUCCUCUCUCCUUUGCAUAUAUUUUUUUUGAAUCAAAAAGGGCCCCAAAAACAAAGAAAAAAAAGAGAAAAAAAAAGGAGAAGUAGAGAUUACAAGGAGUGAUAUCAUGGGCUCUGGAUCUUUUCUCAAGGUGGUUGCAAAAAACUUUGAUGUUCUUGCUGGGUAUGUAAUGUAUUGUAAUGUUUGUUCCCCUGUUCCACUUUACUCUAUUUUGUGGUUCUAUGGUAAAUCCCUUACAUAAAAAUCUCAACUUUUUGUGGAAUUUUAGAUCAAAUAAUUUGUGGGUUUUGUUCUUCUUGUAGCUUUUUGUGGGUUUUGAAGUUGAAUUGUAGGGUUGUGUGUUCUACUCACAGAGAGGUCAAGUUAAAACAAAAAAAAAAAAUUUUAUUUUUUUGCUUUUUUGGUAUGGUUUAGUGGAAAAAAAGUGAUUUUUUGUUUUAUCAAUUAUAAAUUCUCGCACUAUAUAUUGCAAACUUCAAAGUUUGGCUCCAUGGUGAAUUAGUUUUAAAAGUGUUAAUUUCUUUGCAAAUUGAUGAUUUGUUAUCUAGUUACAGUGCAACUGAUCUCUCUCUCUCUCUCUCUCUCUCUUUCGAUUUGUAGCACAUUUAUUUUAAAGAAGUGAUUUUUAGGGUUUUUUUUUUUUUCCUCUUUACUAGGGCUACAUAGUUUUAGGAAUUAAUUGCAUGCAUUCUAAUUAUUAUUUGUUGCAGCUUCUGAAUUCUCUUGAGCAUAGCUUUAGAAAAGAUGUUUUUUUCUCAAUGAAACUUCUUAUUAUUAUGCCGAGUUCCUCGAAACUCAGUUCACAUCCAUGAUACCAAAAUUUCCAUAAUGUUGAAGUGUAAUGCUAAUUGAGGUUUUCAAAACUAUAUGCUUGUAUUUAGUUUGACAUUUUGAACCAAAUGAAUCAAUAAAUCCACAUUGUACCUUGUAUUCUUCUUAAAUUUGAAUUUGUAAUUUCAAGCUUAUAUUUCUUUAUUUUGGUACGCAGGCCGGUAAUUACGCUUCUUUAUCCGUUGUAAGUGUUACUUCCUCUUUACACAAGUUUAAGAUAAGCAAAUUCUUUUAAUUCUUUUUAUGUUUUUUUUUUUUGGGAAAAAGUUACCUCUCGACGAAAUUUUAACAGGUAUGCUUCAGUUAAAGCAAUAGAAACAAAGUCUCCUGUGGAUGAUCAGCAAUGGCUCACAUAUUGGGUUUUGUACUCUUUAAUCACACUAUUCGAGCUUACUUUCGCUAAAGUUAUUGAAUGGUGAAUAUUUUUCUGAAGUGUCAGUUUUAUUUUUUACUUUAUCCUCAUCAAAUGCUCGAGUACUUAUUAACUUUUUUCAUCAUCAUUUACUGUAGAACCAUAACUUUGCGGUGGUGUUCUUUAGAUGUUAAUAGGAAAAAUAAUUCCAAACUAGAUAACAUCUUGGAAAUUUUCAUUAUUAUUUCUGGAAAGUUUAAUUGCUUAUAUCCUCUUAUUCUAUGUUAUUUGUAUCUUAGAGAUAGAAGAGUAAGCUAUCCACUUUCUUUGAGCAGCAAAAAUUUUACAUUUUAUAGUUUGAAAGUCGAGUGUGGCAAGGAUUUAAGUGCCGUGGCAUGAGGUUGUGCUGGAAACUUGCUAGCACGGUAUAGCACGGUGCGUGCUGGGCCGUGCCGAUGCGUAUCGGUCACAAAAAAUAUAUGUGUGCCAACACGUAAUUGCAUGAAAUAUUUAUUUUUUUUUAGCAACAAAAUAUGCCAAUUAUUUUUUGUAUAUUUUUAUCAAAUUUUUUGAAUUUUAUUGAGAAAAUUACCUACUAAUUUCAAAAAUAAAGAGUUUUUGAGUUGUGCUAUCGGCACGAGGGCUGUAUUGUGCCGAUAUUUUGCUGGCACGAUACGGCCCGUGUCGAUGGGCGCUUCAACCCUUGGAGUGUGGGUUUAUUUAAUGGUUCAUUUUGCUAGUGCUUUCGUUGUGAUUUAGAGCUUGUUUUGGCCUAGCUGUUUGAUGAAGCUGUAAUAGUGUUUUCAUUAAAAUCUCCAACAUCUUCCUCGUGCAAUAGAAUUGGAGCUUCUGCCUUUGGAGCCUCGUAGUUCAUUUUUCACUCCUCCCUUCCACAGCAAAUGUUCUUUUUGAAGUCUAGUAAACUAAGCUGUGAUCUAGCAUUCACAAUUGUCUGUUUUUUUUCUCCUUUUGUUUUCUCUUUCUUUUCGUAGGCUUCCAUUCUGGUCGUACAUGAAACUGAUCUUCAAUUGUUGGCUGGUCUUACCCUACUUCAACGGAGCCGCCUAUGUUUAUCAGAAUUUUGUGAGGCCCAUGUUCGUAAAACAGGUCCAGGAAACAGUCAACGUCUGGUACGUCCCGCGGAAGAAGAGCAUCUUCACCAAACCGGACGAUUUCCUAUUCGCCGUCGAGAAAUUCAUCGAGGAAAACGGACCCGAGGCAUUGCAGAAACUCGUAAACAAGGUUUUAGUCAAGCAACAGUCCAUUCUAGUCAGGGUAAAUCGUAUGGAUAUAAAUCCAUUAAUCCCUCUACUAUCCCGAGGUUGCAACUUGGUUGCCGGAACUUUUACGCACGACUGAAAAGGGCAUUUUUGCAGCAAAAGUCGAACUGAUGUCAGAUUAUCUUUUGUUAACAGCCAAUAUUGCAAUUGCAAUAUCUGAGCAAGUUCAGGGGAUUAAAGCGGUCGAGCGAAUAGUUCUAGGAUAAGUUGCAAUAUCGGGAUAGUACAGCGACGAUCCGUACAUUUUACCUAUGGCUAUUAAACACAGUAACUGAUCCUUACGACAACCCCAGUCGCAUUGUCAAUUACAAUAAGAUAACCUGUUCCUUUUUUUCUUUGUUUUAAAUUCAGGCUGAAAAGGCGCCAAAGCCUAAGAAGAGCAGCAAUAAGCGCGUGACAUUUGCCGAGGUGGAGCACGAAACGGAAACGACGAAGUCCGCGAAGAAUGACAAGCAUGUUAUCCACCAUAAGAAAGAUACCGAACAAGAGUCUAGCUCUUGGAGCAGCAGCAGCAACUUCAUGAUUUUCAGUGAUGAGAAUCAUUACUGGACCUAGAAGGCUAGAACCAACCUCUCUCUCUCUCUCUCUCUCUCUCUCUCUCUCUCAAUGUAUCAUAUUGUUGUACUCCUGGUAGAAACCUUUGAGUCAUAUGUAAGUAGUUAGAUGUAUUUGAUAACUUGUAUGUAUAUGUGCUUAAGUAUGUUACAUUGUUGUGUCAUCUGAUGAUCCAAAAGUGAUCCCUUUUUUCUUUUCUUUUUUUAAUAGGUUGGUCAAGUUCUUGUGAAUGUAAUAAACUAGUUAUUGAGUAAUAUGAAAAAUAGAUCGCAUUUUCGCAGCUCAUAUUUUGUUUUAUUUCGCGCUAAGCAUACUAGUAAUUGCGAUUUUUCUUUCUUUCUUUUUUUUUUUCCCUUCCUUCUAGCAUAAUUUGAAUUAUUUUGAGAGGAAAACAAAAAACUCAUGAAGAAAAUACAAAACUAAUUUGGCCAUUCUUAAUUAUUAGAAUUCACUUUCAAUUACAAGCAAAAUAUGAUACAGUUAUUCAAGUUAUCAGCUAGACAAAGGAAUCUUAUAUAAGCUGUACUCACAAAUUGAGUCAAAUGAUCAUACUUUACAACACUUUAUACCUACUCUGCCAACACCCAAAGGCUCAAAAUUUCGUUCAUUCUUUUUGUUCUUAUUUUAACAACUGCAGAGUACCUAUUUGGCUUGGCUUUUAGAACAGCUUCUCUACUUAAAAAGCAACAGUUAAAUGCCCGACAAACAAAUUUAUAUAGCUUUUACUGGAACAUAAGCAUUCGAAACCCCCUAAACACGGGAAGUAGUUAGAGAGAUACUGUCGGAAAAGCUGUUAUUGCCCUUUUCGAUAGCUUUACUCAACAGUGCUUCUCCAGAAGCUCCAGUUAUGUAGAACAAGCACUAGCCAAGAUGUUUUAAGCUUGAGCCAGUUUCAGAAGGGCUACAAAAAGCCAAGAUGGGCGAGUCGACUGACCAUGAAAAAGGAUCAAAGAUCUGAACCACGCCGGAAAUUUUUUCGGGCCUCGAGUUUUUCAGACUUAGCGCGGCCUAGUGAAUUGGGUUUGGUCCAUUGUGCUCAGGUUUACUAACAAGCCAUCUCAAUGGAGCUGCAACCAGCUUCCUUCUUCACCAUCUUGUGCCCUUCAAACUCUCUCGCUUUUGCAAUGGCGUCCCACAUCCCUGCUCCUGCAUAAGUGCUUGACAAAACGACCGAAUCCGCCGGAUGCUCAUCCCCUAACCCUACCAAAUACCUCCGCACCGUCUCCCCCAACUCGACAUUCCCAUGCACCCUGCAGGCUGCAAGCAAAGCCCUCCAAGCCAUGUCAUCGGCUUCUGAAGGAAGCCCUUUUAUAAGCUCAUGUGCUUCUUCCAACCGCCCUGCUCUCCCCAGUAGAUCGAUCACACACCCGUAGUGCUCGGGCUUCGGAGAAAGCUUAUAAUCCCUCACCAUUUUCUCGAAGCACUUCUUGGCUUCUGCCACCAGCCCGCCGUGGCUACAGGCACUGAGGACUGCUAGAAAAGUGACUUCGUUAGGAAGCGCUUUUUCACUUUCCAUCCUAUAAAAGAGGCUAAGGGCGGCUUCAGCCCGCCCGUGGAAGCCAAAUCCCAUGAUCAUAGCAGUCCAUGCCUUCACAUCUCUUUCCGGCAUUUCAUCAAACACUUUAUUGGCAUCAAUGAUGCAUCCGGUUUUCGAGUACAUGUCCACAAGUGCUGUUCCUAGAGCUGAAUCCAACUCAAUAUCCUCCUCUUUAACAAACUCAUGAAUUCGCCGACCUACAACUAAAGCCCCCGAAGAAGCGCAAGCCGAAAGCAACCCCACGAAAGUAGAAGAAUUAGGUUUUGCCCUUUCGCGCCUCAUCUUCUCUAUCAAGCCCAAGGAUUCUUCUACAAGACCCUUUUUUGCGUAGCCGUCCACCAUGCAAUUGUACAAAACCAAGUCUCUUCUUUGUACACUAUCAAACACUUUCCGAGCAUAAUCCAUGCAGCCAAAUUUCACGUACACAGACAUGAUUGCGGUGGCGACGUUUAACUCCGAGCAAAAUCCGAUCUUUAUGCAAUACCCAUGCAAACACUCACCACAUAAGGAACCGAAUUCUACAGAGGCUGAGAGCGCACUGACGAUCGAAGCGGCAUUGACCUCCGAACAAGAGGACACCACAUCUCUAAACAGACUCAUUGCCUUCUUCGUCUCCGACACCUGACCAUACCCAUUUAUAAGCGCGGCCCAAGAAACCAUAUCUCUUCUCUGGGGCAUUUCGUCGAACAUAGUAUGGGCAUCGCACAUUUCUCCACAGCAACAGUAGAAAUGGAUGAGGGUGUUCCACACAUUGGGGUACACAUCAAAACCGGACUUUGCGACGAGCCCAUGAACCUGCUUCCCCAGGGGGAGGGUGCGGCACCGGGCAGAGAGCUUGAGGACGGAGACGAAGGGGAACUGGUCCAAGGGGAGGGGUUCGGUCAUUAGGGUUUUGAAGAGGGCGAGGGCUUCGGAGAGGAGGAGGGGGUGGUGGCGGAGGGCGAGGGCGGCGUAGGAGCGGAGCAUGGUGUUGUACUGGAAGAGGUUGGGGGCGGGGAUGAAGCGGAAGAUGGCGCGGGCGUAGAUGAAUGCGGCGGAGGCGGAAUCGGCGGCGCCGCCACCUGCUUCGGCGGCGGCGGCGGCGGAGAGGAGGAGGCUGGUGGGGAAGGGGAGGAGGUCGAGGGCGGAUUUGACCAUGAGGGCGUGGAUUUGGAGGAGGUGGGGGUAGGGUUUGGUGGCGGAGGAGGAGGAGGAGCGGAGGAGGGAGACGACGCGCGUCGAGAUUCGUGCGGGCGCGGAUCUCGGCAUGGCGGCGGACGGUGGCGGAGCAUCUUCUACUUUCACCCGGCGAGUUCGUGUUAUUUACAAACAAGCCACACAAAUAAAUUUGGCCCGAAUUCGAAGCCGAACCCGAACCCGGACCCGAACCCUGUCCGGUUCAAAUUUUACUUUUUGGGCGGUUCACACGCCGCACCAUCAGUAUCACCCCGUCCGCGCCCCUCUCAAAUUCUAGGGUUUCCGCCGCAAGAUAUAAGACCCUCCCCUCCCCUCCUCUCCCCUCUCCUCCCCGUUCGCUACUUACCCUUCACUGGUGGCGGAGGAGAUCGCCGGCGAUGGUUCACGUCAGCUUCUACCGCAACUGUAAGCUCCCCCUUGCAUCGUUCGAUCUCAUUAUGGUUAGGGUUAGGGUUUUCAUUGCUUGUUGUCGUGGCGAUUGCUUCUUUGUUGGCCAUCUUAGAUCUCUUUAUUUGGUCGAUCUCAUUAGGGUUUAGGGCUUGUGUUAGGGUUUUCAUUGCUUGUUGUACCGGUGAUCUUAUUGGGGUUAGGAUUAAGGUUAUAAUUGCUAAUGGUAGUGGUUGUCACGUUUUUGUAGGCUCCCCUCAGAUCUUAGAUCUCUUAUUUUGAUGGAUCUCAUUAAGGUUAGGAUCUUUGUUGCUUAUGGUACUAGUAAUCUCGUAGUGGUGGGGCCCCUCCUCCCUAUCAGAUCUUAGAUAUCAUCAUUUUGUCGAUUUAUUAGCGUGAGGUGUAGGGUUUUAAUUGCUUGUGGCAGUGACGGUGACAGUGACAGUGGCGAUCUCAUCUUUGCAUAUCCUCAGCUUCUAUUGGUUGAUUUUAUUAAGGUUAUGACUAGGGUUAGGGUUAGGAUUAGGUUUAGGAUGCUUCAUUUCUGAUGGUAGUGGCUAUCUCGUCAUUGCAGAUGGGAAGACAUUCAAGAAGCCGCGCUGGCCCUAUGAGAAGGAGCGCCUUGACGCCGAGCUGAGGCUCGUAGGCGAGUACGGCUUGCGGUGCAAGUGGGAGCUUUGGCGGGUCCAGUAUGCACUGAGCCGGAUCCGGAAUGCGGCGAGGGAGCUCCUCACCCUUGACGAGAAGAACCCGCGCCGGAUCUUCGAGGGAGAGGCCCUCCUCCGCCGCAUGAACCGAUACGGGCUCCUUGAUUAGAAUCAGAACAAGCUCGAUUAUGUCCUUGCGCUCACUGUUGAGAACUUUCUAGAACGUCGGCUUCAGACUCUUGUGUUCAAGACGGGGAUGGCCAAGUCCAUUCAUCAUGCCCGGGUUCUAAUCAGGCAGAGGCACAUUAGGUAUAAUGUAUUGGGAUUUUUUAGCCUCUUAUUUGUUAUGCAUAUUGGAAAUCUAUGUGUUAGAUUUGAAACAUCUGCUCAUGCUUUGGCCUUUUUUUUUGCCUUAGUAAUUGUAUAUGUGUCAUAACUUUAGGGUAAAAUAUAUGGAAGUCCCUGUACUAUCUUGAUAUUGUGGCUUGGUUGUUUUACUUUUCACUUGAAUACUUUGGCAUGAAAACUUGACAUAUGUUGCACUUUUGUUCCUAGGCGAAAAAUAUGGUUUGUCGUUCAUUAGAACUAUUAGACCCGUUUCCUUGAUUCACUUAACAAAAAGUUCGGAUUUUUUGAAGUGAUUAAAUUUGAAGUACAGGGACUGUAUAUUGGUAUAGUACGAGGAAUACACCUACAUUUUUUGCAUAACUUUUUGUUAGUUUGUAGUGCUCUCUUAUAAAAUGGACGUGCUUGUAGUUGAUUUAUACAGCUGAUUUGUAGAUUCAUGUAUUGGCUCUCUCCAUUUCUCCUUUGGGUGCAACUAUUGUACUAUGUGCAGUUUGAGUAGAACUGUAUCACUUGCUUCUUGUUUGGUACAUAGAGAGUCAUGUGUGAUUUGCUCAAACUGGAUGCUGUAAUCUCACAACUGUGUAUAAACAGAAAUUUUGUUUUUAAGAUAAGUCCUCUAAUGACUGACUGACUUCUAUGAUAUCUGCUUUUUGAACCUACUCAAUCCGAAACGUAUUUUUGAAAAUUUGGAUGACUAUAUGUUGAGCGCAUAAUUAAUAUCUUCUUAUGAUGAUUUAUUGAUGGUGGUUCCUUUGGGUUGAUUUAAGAUGGGCAAUAUGAUGAGAAUAUGUAAAUUACUCACGACGGUCGUCUGAGGCACUUAUGUGUCUACGCUGAUGCAAAAAUCUCUCUGAUGCCUAACUUUAUUCCCCCCCCCACACCUUUAGUUGAGAUUGAUAUUAUAUUUUUUUUCCUUUUUUUUUGGUUUUUAUACUGUAUAUAUUUCUUUGAGACAACGCUUUCCUAAAGAGCUGUUUGGUUUAAGGUUUUUAUUAUUUUGGAAAUAUUGUAUAUUUUAUAUUGGGAAUGACAAGUUUGUUAUUAACUUAUUGAGCCGCAUGUUGGAGGUUGUUAAGAACUAGUAUAUUCUUAUUAAUGGAUUACUAGUAAUUCUCAUCAAGCAUGAAAAUGAGAAACCUCCUAAUCCGUGAUAAUUUAGUACUCCUACCCCUUAGGUAUUGAACUAAUACUUUUUACAACUAUUCAACUUGAGUUGAAUGAUAAUGAUUUGAAUAUUUUCAAUAAAAAAUGUAGAGGAUUAUCGGAAUAUUAUAAAUUGUGAACCAAACAGGCCUAGGACUUUAAUAUCUAUUUCCUGAGAAAUCAUGAGUGCGCUACUGUACUGUUUGCUGUCUACUUAUAUCUACUUGCUUAUAACUUAAUUGCCCAAAUUUUCUUCUUUUUUUUUUCCCAAUUAUUUAUUUUGAAUAUAAAUGACUUUGCUAUCGAAAUCACUCCUUGCGGAGUUGGGAGUCAUGGUUAGGGUAGAUUCGGAGAAGCACAUUGACUUCUCGCUCACGAGCCCAUUCGGCGGGGGCCGCCCGGGAAGAGUGAAGAGGAAGAACCAGAAGGCUGCGGCAAAGAAGGCGGCCGGGGGCGACGGUGAUGAGGAGGACGAGGAGUGAGUGCAGUACCCUUAACGACGAAUAGGUGCUGCAGAGCCCCAUCAGUUCUCUUUCUCAUGCAAACCUUUGAAUUCGAUGUCGGCCGAACUGAUUCUUGCUAUAAGCUAUAGAAGGAUAAAUUACAUGUUUCUUUUUUUUUUUUUUUCUUGUUUUUCUUUUUUAACUUUUGUUUUAGUGGGCUCCGCUGGAUAAAUUUUGAUGCAUGUUCUUGAUGUUAAUUUUGAUUAUGACAAUUGUACCAUUGUAGUUUUGGUCUUGGGCAUUAUAGGUUAUUCAUUUUUGUGAGGAGAAUUGAAGAGACUCUUCUCUGUUUUCCCUUUUCUAUUUUUGAGCAACCAAUGUGCUUAUUUUUAAGACUUCUGCUGUUGGGAUACUAAUGCUGUUUUCUCUUAUGUUUUCCAUCCAUGAAUGCUCUCCUCCUGCUUCUCUCUCGCUCUCCAAUUAUUUCUUUUGUGUGCAUAUGAUAUUAGAAUUAGAUGGAAGAAUUAUGGCUUAGUCCAGCUGUUCUUAUUCUGGGAGAUCAUCUUGUAACUCAGGAAAUUGAAGCCCACUUGUGUAUUUACAGGAUUUGAUCUACCGCCUUUUCGGAGUAAAAUUUGGGUUACGAGGCCUGCAGACGAUCCUUAAAGAAGCAGAAAGAAAGAAGAAAAAGACACCGACCGUCCUUAGAGCAUGUCGCAAAGGGCUUGGUGGUUGAUACCCGAGAUCCAAGUUCGAAUCCUAGUUGAUUCAUAUUUUCAGCUAAGUUUACUUCUAAAUGAAAUAAACGAAGCGGGUUGCGUGCUACCUAUCUCUCAAAAAAGAAAAGAAAAGAAAAGAAAAAGAUAGAUAGUAAAAUUAGAGGGAGAAUUAAGAGCAGAACCCUCUGGAUCUCAUUUCCAAAGCUAAAUUUGAACCAUAGUUAAUUUGAAUUUGACAAAAAUUCGGUACGAGUAUAAUGCGAAUAAAAUUUGUCUUUUAAUUUUUAAAUUUGUUGAAAAAUACGACUUAAAAAAUAGAUUCAUCAAUUAUUCGGAUACACAAUUUAUACGUUCGCCAAUUAACAAUUCGGUAGAAAAAUUGGGCUAUUACAUAGCUAUAAAUUCUUAAAAAUAUAAAAAAGAGCUACAAAAUAAAGUAGAUUAAGUGAAAAACUUAAUAGCAAAUUUUAUUAUCUUCUCCAUCUUAAUCUUUUUCAUGAUCCACGCAUUUCGAAAGUUCACGAAGUUUUUCAAUAAUUGGUGAAUAAUUUGGCAAUAAUUCAAAAAGAAAUUUUAUCUAAAAAAUUUGUGUAUUUUUUUGGCCGAAUAGUUCGACAUACGUGAAUUAUUCACGAAUAAUAAAUUUAACUAAAAAAUUUGCAUAUUAUUUCGAUCUUUUGAGAAUAAAUCGUAUAUGGGCCGUUUUAUUCGAAUUUUUAAUAAUUUGCAAAUUAACUAAAUUUGAACUAAACCAAUGUCUAAAAUCUACAAAUGUCUAAUGGGUAUUGACAUUUUGACAGCAACAAUGGCAUUAUAAUGAAAUCUCAAAUUUCGAAAUAUGCCUUGAUUUUCUUUUUCAUGGAUGUUUCUAAAUCCAGAGAUGCGUAUUACUUCGUGAGUUGACAAAAGUAUUUCACUCCAGCCGACUUCCUUUGUCCCACCCUGCUUCUACUUCGAGGUGCCCACAGCCUGCAGCACUGCAACCAUAGCAACAAGGUUGGCUGCCGGCUGCUUCACCGCUACGUCCGCAGAUUACAGCUGCCUUCAGUAACUCCGCGAGAGGAGGGCAGACUAAACCAUCAGUCGAUCUGCGCAUUCUGACAUCAUGAAAAACCAUCCCAAGAUCAUCAAAAAGAUGACUGUCUGGAUUGCGCGCCAGGUGCGACUGAGAUCGGUAAGUACACUCGUACUGCAAGCACCAUCACAAUCACAAACAUAUCAAGUACUAUCCGCGAGGUGGCAGUGAACAGCAAUGCAUGGAGAUGCUGAUUCUCUACAGAAGAAAAAAAAAAGAAAAAAAAGGCAUCUAAACUGGUUAGCAUAUCCACAGGAACAAGCUUUAUUCUUCGGCAUCAAAAUAAAUCAUAAGAGUGAAUCAAACACAAGCACAUUGAUGGACACAGAAAAGUAAAUUCGCAUUAAAAACCAAAAAAAGAAAAAAAAAAGAAGGCUGGCAGCAUGAUCACAAAAUGUUGAAGAAAGCUUGUGAGCGAAGCGCCGAUUACUGAAAAAUGCAACAUCACUAGAAAAUGAUUCGAUCCUCUUAUUUCUCAAAAUCGAGAUAUCAAGCUAGGAUUGCGAUGCGUACAGAUGAUACAUUUGAUACUGCGGGCGCAAGAAUUCUCCAGAAGCAUCUUCUGAAACAAAAAAAAAAAGGCGCUUCAGAAGUGGUAAAUAUAAAUUAGAUUGAUGCAAUUUAACCUGUAUUACUUGCAAAAGACAAAUAUGACAUGAAAUGCAACAACCGAAGAAACGACGUUAUACGCAUCGACCUAAAUUGAGAUGAUGAUGUAAUAACUGUUACCCAUUUCUGCAAAUGAGACAAGAAAAGAAGGAAUAUGGAAGUACAAUUAUUCUGAUUAAUGCUUCCAACUUGCAUCAGAAAAGACAAAUAAUCGAACAUAUUCGGAAAAAAAAAGAAAAAGAAAAAUAAUUCUACUGUUUUGAGGAAGUGACUCAAAAAAUAAAACAACUCAAAGUGCGUGUCAAAAUCCAUCAUAUCUGAUUUAUUUUGUAUCCUAUUUUGACUUGUGAAGCCAUAUUUGGUUUUAAUCUACUGAAAUAGCAUAACGCAUCCAAGUUAUGCUUACUUUUAUGUGAUAUAGAAACCAAGUGUAGCCUUUCGAGUUCUAUUCUCCGAUGCUCAUCGUCUUUGCUGUUCAAAGUAACAUCAUUUAUCAUACCUUCUUUUUCCUUUUCUUCUGCUCAUAUUGAAGCAAAUUCGCUUUUUACAAAGUCCCUGGGCAUAAAUUCAGAUGCUUAUUCCGCUUCAGAAUAAUUCUCCACUAAGUUAUUCCCUGUCGAAUAAGAAGGCAUUUAUAGUUGCAGAUAUAAGAUGCCGAAGAAUGCGACAAAAGCGGAAUAAGCAUUUCAUCAGUUAUAGUUCCCUCGUGAAGAAUAAGUAGAAGAAGAGUAUUUCAUACAACUUCAUAUAUGAAAGAAGUAAAUCAUCAAAUAUGCUAAAUUAAUGCAUAUAAUGUAGCACGAGAAAGAGAAAAAACAAUUUCCUUAUAAAGAUAUUCUCAACUUUACUCCUUAAGAAUUGCCUUUUUCAAAAUAAAACAAGAGAGUAAUACUAACAAUUGCUUAGAUUCAUGUAAUCAAAAAGGAAUAAUUUAGUAAGAUCAAACUAUGAACUCACGACUCUUCUGUAACAUAACUAAUUCGCAAUUUAACGAAGGAGAUAACUCACCAGUUGAUUGAACAUCACAUGGAAUCAUUUCGGACGAAACCCAUAUGCAAGCAAUGCUAAUGUUAUCUAAGCAACCAUACUUACUUCCAUUUACAUCACCAUUCAAUACAUUUACCUCGCCACGAUGUCAAAAAGAAGGUGAGUUAAGUGCUUCGUUUUAGUCAAAAUUAAAACAAAUAACUACGUAUUUAACGAGAAUCUGAUCCGAGUAAAAUAACUCAUGGCCUAAGAAGAGCUCCAAAAGAAUUAAAAAAAUAAAAUCUUUAUCCACUGGGAAACUAGGUUUACGCUUUCCAACUUGCUUCACAUUAUUACCCGCAAAUUGUUCCACUAAUUAUACAAGACUAUCAUAUAUUCCUACUUUUUCUAAUGUUGACUUAAAAAGAAGCAUUUAAUCGUAUUCAUCUAGCAACUCCAAGAAACAAAUAGGUCAUACCCGAUAAAUAAAUUAUAGCUUUUCACAAAAUUCUUUUUUUGAUGCUUAUGCCUAUUUUUAGUACCAUCACUUGCUUAUUAUGGUUUUCCUUCCGUUCAUUUACGAUCUUUUUCUUUCCUUUUUCUUUUUUGUUGGCUCUUUGUCAGUUCAUAUUGAAACAAUCCCCCCUUACAAAGUUAUCCAAGUAUUAUUCUUGAUGCUUAUUCUACUUCAAAAAAAAAAAAACUCCACUAAUUUAUUCCUUGUAAUGACUAACUUCAUUAAAUAAACAAGGCAUUUAAUUACUACGUAUAAAGAUGCCGAAGAACGCGGUAAGAAGCCAAUUUUGGUUAAUUAACUUAAUGUCAUCAAUUAAGAGCUCAUUUAGUCUGUAGAACAUAAGAGCAUCAAAUACUCAGUUGUAGUAAAAUGAUAACAAUCUAUGUCGAACAAGUUGUAGUUAAAUGUAGGGACAACUUAAAAAGGCCUUCCUAAGGAUAGUGCGUUUGCAGUUUACUACUUUGCGGUUCUAAAUGUAACACUAACGCGCUUAGGUUUCUGUUUUAGUUCUAUAUAAAGGACCUUCUUUUAAAGGAGUAGCAAAAGUGAUCUGUUUAGUAAAGGUAUCAUGCGAGCAGGUCUGUGCAGAGAACAGAAACAGAAACUACAGGGGCAAAGAACUACACGUAAUCUUAAAUGCUAUAUAAAAGCAGCUAACGAUCAAUUGAACAGGUGAGGAAAGAUUUGACUGAAAAAGAAUAAGCAAGAAGAUCCAUUAACAACAGCGAAGCAGCCAACUUUUGAUGUGAAAAUAGAAAACCAACAUGAAAACAUUCCAAACCUUUAAAGUGUGAUACUACAUGGAGUGUGAUCAUCCAAUUACCGUAGCGAAUUCAGAAGCAGGAAAACAAAAAGCACUUGAUCAGAAAACGACAGCAGCGCUCAAACCUGUAGAGUGUUUAAUUAAAGUUAGUAUUACUAGAUCAAUUUCCUAACUAGAGUAGUUCUAUCCAAAGCUACUACAAAUUUUGAGCAGAUUAUGCAUAUCAUCACAAAUGAAUAGGGUAUGACUUAAAUUGAUUUUUAAUUACUAAUGAUCAUAAAAAGUAUCAAAUAGUCGAAAAGAUACAGUUUCCUUUUACUGACAUCUCAGAGUGUUGUUGCAAAGCCACAAGCGAAAGAGAACUUCCGAAAAGAUUAUUUAUGCACGAAAUGUAGAGGCCUAAAAGUAGUAAGAUGGCCUAACGUAAAGCAUUUAUGUUUCAGCUUUGCCUAUAAAGAAACUAACAUUAACUAGACUUUUCAAGUUCUAGAAUACAUAAAGAGCUUCAAUCUCUGUCACAAAAUUGUACUUUUCUCAAAGUAAAAUAAAAAAACAUUAUUCUAUUCUGCACACCUUUAUUGUAAAAAAUAAAUAAAAAUUGAGCAAUUCCAAAUGUGAGGUCGUAAAUCAUAGUAUCUUAUUGGUCAAAUUGAAAAGUUGAAAUUCAACGGCACCCUUGUUUUCUUCUUUUACUUCCUGCAAAAGCAAAACAACGGAAAUGAAUGAAUUUUCGACCAUAUAAAAACUCACUCGUUCUUUUUUCUUCCUUUUCAUCGAUUUAUUCCAAGUUCACAAAACCAUGCAGAUUCUCACUUCAGCAUUUGCUUCCCAUAUGGUUCCUCACUUUGCGUGUUUAAGAGAGUUGCGAUUCGGCACCAACUUUUAUGUAGCAGUUAAUCAUAAGUGCAAAAUUUGUCGCACAAUACACAAAUCCGGCAAGGACAUCUAAUAGAGUAUACUACACUUAAUUUGGCGUAUUCACUAUUCACAUGUUAACAGCUAAAAAAACUUAUUAGCGCAUUAACAGGAAAGGCAAUAAAGGAGAUCACAAGAGUCAUAUUCUAACACAACAAAGCUAGAGACAAGUAAGACAACUGUGCGGUGCGGUUUCAGUAAAGAGAAAAAAUGAAUUAGUGAGAAACACUAUUAUACAGUGAGAAAAUGAUACGUAGCUGUUUACAUGGGCACAGUAAUCAUCAAUAUCAUUGAAACUACUCGAAGUUACCGAAUUCAGUAAAUCAAAUUUUCUUAAGCCAACACUCGAUUUCAUCGAAUUGAAGCAUUCAAAUGCGUGAAUGGUAGAAUUUAAGUAAGAGUUUGGGAAGCAGUUUCAAGCUAUUUUACUUGAAAAAGGUUGGAAGAAAAGAGUUGUUGUUCCGUGCCACGACACUGGUCUGCGCCACGUAGUACUAGCGACCACCGCCAUGCAUGGGCAUGCCAUGCAUCGUCUUGACACGUCGAGUGCCUUUAGAAACAAUGAACGUUACAAUCCGCAAUCUUCUAGUCAAUGUCUCACACCUAUUGUCUCACACCUACUCGCUAACCUCGCACGUCCUGACUUUGCGUACCUAAAAGAUCGGCAGUGACUGCCACGGUGCAUGCCAACUGGUACCGGCAUCCAUAAGCACGGCUAUCCAUCGUCUGGACACGCCACUUGCCUUUAUAAAAAAGUAACACAACUGUCCACAAUCUUCUACUCGAAGACUUGCACCUACUGCACAAGCCUUGUGAAAGCUCACUUUACUAUGCGCUAACCUCGCGCUUCCUAACUUUGCGUAUCUAAGAGAGCGGCGAUUCCCCGGAGCAGCUUUAACCUGUCGACUUCAAGAACAUCAGUAUGAAAAUUGUUGGGCAACGUAGAAUUGAACAAGAACAUGAAUUACAGUACGUUACACGAGUUUGGCGUAAUCCCACGGUAACGAAAGAGAGCUUGUUUACGUAUUAGUGGGAAAAGCAACAAAGGAGAUCACGCGAGCCGUCCUAAUACGACAAUGCUCGAUUUAAAUACGGCCAUUGUUUGGAUUAAGUAAAGAAACAGCUCGAAAUUUACGAAACUGUGGACCAAAUAGAAGAUUUCUACAUUGAAGAGUUUCUCCCGAGUUAAUAAGCAGUAAGUUCCAUAGGUUGAGGAACAUGGUUUUAUCUAUAAGAAAAUGAAAUCGAUUAAGGAAACUCAAGAAUUAAACGAUUUUAUUCCGUAAUGAGUUUAAAAGCAAGAGAGCAAGCCUUAAUCACAAUACCGAGUAAAACUAAAGAUUUUUCAAAUCUCUUAUGAAUAAAUAAAAUUACGAAUAGAGGCAAUUGGAGAUGACGACAUAAAUUACUCGAUCAUAUCGUGAACAACUAAGAUGCGAAAUAUAUCACACGACAUAAACAAAUUAUGAGUUUUACAUAAUUCGCAAAGUUAUACGAGCACAUGUUACAUGAUUUGUGAAAGACUAAUAACCCCCUUCACCAAACAUAAAUCACAUUCCAAGUUCCGACUACUCUUGUAGAACGAAACAAUUUAUGAAACUAAACAUCCAUAAGACUAAAUAGCAUCCAUCAUAAAAAUUAAGGAGAGAGGAGAGUUUGUAAAAGGUAAAAGAUAUUUUUUUGCUUUUUUAUUAUUAACCUAACAUUGUACUUAUAACAGGGUUGGUUACAAAUGCAUGCAAAUAGAAAUGAAGAAAUUAACGGCGAUAAAACGAACAUAAUUCUAAGAACUUAUGAUGAUGAUGAUGAUGAUGAGUUACAUAAAACACAUUUCUAAGGAAUUUUUUUCUUUUUCUUUUUUAAAAUCUUUAUAGAAGUUACCCAAUUAUGAAGAGAAAAGCCGCGAGAUCAGCAGACCAUCACCGCGCAAUUAUACACAAAGCUCCCCGACUGACGGCUGGCGAUCACCUCCCACUCCGGCGGGCCCCCCGCGGUCGGGACCCAUGAGUUGAGCUCGAUGACCCCUCCGGCCCCGGCCGAGACCCCCCGCCCCCCGAUCACAAUCAGGCGGUCCCCGCACGCCUUGAACGCCAGCCCCCAGCCGUUCAUCGACACCGACCGCUCGGGCAGCCUCCCGAGCGUCGCCCACGCGUUGCGCCCCUUAUCGUACCUGCGCAGCUCGUUCGAGGCGUAAUCCGCCGCGUAGAGCUCGUUGCCCACCACGGCGACCAGCGGCGGCGCGCCCGUGGUGGCGCCCGUGAGCCCCGCGGCCAUGCCGGGCACCAGCCGCCACGCGCGGCGCUCCAAGUCGUACUCCUCGCCGCACGUCAAAUGCUCAGUAUGCGAGCGCAUGCCGCCGAUCACGUAAAACUUGCCGUCCAUGAACACGCCGGAGCACAUCUUCCGGGCGCGGUUCAUGCUCGGGAGGACCUCCCAGCAUUGCCUAUCAGAAUUGUACAUUUCCGCGGAGCUCACAAUCCUGCCGCCGGUGUCGAUCCCUCCGGCGACGACGGCGGUGGCGCCGGAGCUGGCGGAGCCGAACAAGCAGCGGGGGGAGUGCAUGGCGACGCCCUUGGACCAGGAAUUGGUGAGGAUGCUGUAGCGGAGCACAAUGCAGGAGGUCAUGUCCUUGCCGAAGACGAGGAGGUCGGUGGCGACGGCGAGGGACUCCUUGUCGCAGAACAUGAAGCACUCGAGGGGCGGCAUCUUGGGGACGGCGGCGGAGAUCCAGCGGCGGCGGAAGGGGUCGAAGGCGUCCCACUCGAGCACGUUGCAGGAGAAGAAGACCCAGUGCUCGACGGCGCCGGAGCGGCGCCGGAGACGGUAAAGCUCGCCGCUUUGGAGCAGGGAGCGGAAGCUCCGGUUCAGCGAGGCGACGGCGCCGUAGUCGGAGCAGGACAGGUGGAGGAGGCAAUUGAUCGAGAGGUCGCGCCCGAUCACCGGGCUUAUGAGGCUAUCCGGAUCCUCGUGCUCGCCCUCGCCCUCGCCCUCGCCGCCACAGCCGUAAAGCGGGGAAUCCACCACCACCACCAUCUUCUUCUUCUUCUCCUUCUUCUCCUUCUUCUUCGUCGUCUUCUUCUUCUUGCUGAGGACGCCAUUAAUGGGGUGUGGCUCCUCCGCUCGGUCCUCUUCUUCCUCGCCGGCGUAAGCCCGCAUGGAUUCGCGAUCGUAGGAGCUCGGAAGCGCCCGCGACACCAUGCAAGAGGAGUCCCCCUCCCGCAUUGCGCGCGCGCGCGCGCGCGUGUGUAUCCCCCCUCAACAACAAAGUGAAAAAGAUCAAAUUUUUUUUACACAACUUGGAACGACGGGGCCAAAAUGCCUUCACAAGUGUACAAACUCGGGGUUGAAUCUGGGCUUCAGAGGGGGUUUAAAAUCCUGUUUAUUUUGCGUCUUUUGUUGAGAUCUAAACUGAUUUUGUGAAGAAAAAACAGCAGGAGAAAAUUAAGGGGGAAAAAAAAAUGAAAUUGGUGUUCUUGAGGGAUUACUGAUUAGGAAAAAGAGAGACCCAGAAAACAAAAUAAGCAAACAAAGUAAGAGAUUGUAUUGCUUUGAUCAAAACAAGUCUAAAAAACUAAACUUUUAAUAGGAAAGGAGGAGAAAGGUGGGAUUUUUAGAGCAAAGAAGGGGGGGGGGGGGGGGGGGGGGGGGAGGGGGAUUUGAAGGUGCGGUGUGGGAGAACGUGGUGGAAGAGGCCCAGAUAUAAGCGGCCAACUGCUGUGGCCUCUGGGGAAAAGCGGCAAACGCGCUAGACACGCGGAUGCAGGAGAGUAUUCGUUUUGGGGCCCUGUUACCCUCUAAUCAUGUAAAAAAUAAUAUAAUUCUAGAAUAUGAAUAAUAUCUAAUAAUAUGCCUUUAAAUUCUUCUAAAAUAUUUAAUUUAUUUUUAUUUUUUUAUUUCGAAUAUACUUUUCGUGUAAGUUUUCGUCAUUCAAAAAUACUCUCACUACACCGACCGUCCUUAGCGCANGGGGGGAGGGGGUUAUGUGUCACUUUUUUUAGUUUCUUUUCACACUACUUGUGCUAUAGCUAUAGUACAACUGUACAAGCCACCCUUUAGUUUGAUUUUGAUUCGGCUAAAUUACACUUUUGGUACUUGAACUAUCAUUCUCCUGAUAUUUUGAUUCGCAAAUUUUAAUCUAUAAAUAAUUUUUAUUUAAAAUUUUAAAAUUAUUAUAAUUAAAUUUUGUAAUUUAAUUUUGUUGACUAAAUAUUACCGUAUUACUAAUAUGAAAAUAGUAUUGUAUCUUAAUUACUGCUAUGUCAUUAAUCAUAAUACUGUCUCAUCAUUUCUAUACUAGUUAAAUACCCGCGCGAUACUGCGGAUAUAAAAAUAUUUUUAUAAUAAAUUUUACUUUUUUUAAUAUUUUUAUAUAGUUUUAUAAGUCCAAUUAUUAAUUAAAUAAAAGUUAUAUAAAAAUAAUUUAAUAGUUAAAAAUAUUUAAAUAAAAGUUAUUAAAAUUAAUAUAUGCACAAAGUAAAUUUAUACAAUAAUUUAUUUGAUAAAGAUACAUAUGAAAAGAAUUUGAGAUAAAUCUAUCAAAAUAAUUUUAAAAAAUUAAUAAAUAGAAGGAAAAUAAAAUUGUAAAAGAAAUUGUUUAAUAAAAUUAAUUAUAUAUACACAGAAAUACAUUAUAUUUCUAAAAUUUUACUCCUGAAAUUUAAAUAUUAUAUUUUUUUUAUACAACGAUAUUUUGCGUGAUUUAAAUUGCAUCUAUCAAGUUAGAUUUUAUUACAUGAUUUAUUAUGCGUAUUAUUAAUAAAAUUUGGAAAUAAAUAUUAUAAGUUAAAAUUAAAAUUUAGAAUUUUAAAUUUUAAAUUUUAAAAUUUGAUAUCAAAAUUUCAUUACUAAUAAGUUGUUAUACAAUUUAUUAAUAAAAUUAAUUAAUUGUAUAUAUAAUUUUGGAAGUAUGGUUUCCAGAGUAAACCACAAGCCGCCAUGUGGCGCAUUUUCAUAAGAAGUUCUAAUAUAACUUGAUAAUAGUAUAGCUUAUUGUGUUCCAUAUAUAUAUAUAUAUAUAUAUAUAUAUAUAUAUAUUAUAACCUUGUGUUAUUCGAUACGAUAAUAGUUCAAUAUAAUCUUGACAAUAAAUACUUCAAAAAUUAUAACUAAAAAUUUUUGGUAACACAUUUCCAUGCUUCUCGCAUUGGGUCAAUUGCUAGUAUAUAUUGUGUGUGAGAGAAUGAAGUGGAGGGUUGGGGAACAGGUGUCACCCUGAGGUUCCCCAACUCUCUUUUAUGUAAUAGAAAUAGAUAACAGUAUAACUUAUUGUGUUCCAUAUAUAUAUAUAUAAUGAUAAUUUUAGAGAGAGAGAGAGAGAGAGAGAGAGAGAGUGAGUUGAGCUAGAAUACUAUCGAUAGCAAACGGGCUCCCUUGCCACCCAUUUGUUUUCGAUGAUGGAGCCUCCAAAUCGACGAUCGGCACCGUUGAAUAUGAUCUAUACCACUUGAAGUAUUUAGAAAUCAAAUUUCAAAUCUUUUCGACAUCAUUUGCCUAAUGAUCAAAGGGUUCCAAAAUUUGUAAUUUUUAUGGUCGAUAUAAGGCGUUUUCUCGUUUAAUGGCGUAAAGAUAUGCAAAUCAAUUAAAUUUUUGUUAGAAAAUUCUUUAAACUAUUUAAAAUAAGAUUUAUAGUCUUGAUCUUGAUUACAAGACUUCUAUCAUCAUUUUUUAAAGAAUAUUCAUUUUCAGCCGUUCAUUUUUGUGUCCACUCGAUGGAUAAGAGAACAAUAUCGAAAAUGUAUGAAAUUUGAUUUCUAAACACUUCAAGUGGUAUAGAUCAUGUUAAACAGUGUCGAUCGUUGUUUUGGAGGCUCCAUUAUCGAAAAUAAAUGGGUGGCAACGGAACCCGUUUGCUAUCGAUAGUAUUCUAGCUCAACUAUAUAUAUAUAUAUAUAUAUAUAUAUAUAUAUAUAUAUAUAUAUAACAGUUUUACAAAAAAUUUCAAUAUGACUUGACAAUAAAUUACUCAAAAAUUAUAACUAAAAAUUGGUAACAACAUUUUCAUGCAUCGCAUGGGUCAAUUGCUAGUAAACCUGGCAAACGGGCGGGUUGGGUAACCCAUGGGCGGGUUAUUGUACCCGCGGGAUACUUGGGCGGGUAAAAUUUGCCUGCAAAUUUUGGGCGGUCAAUAUCUUUACCCAUACCCGCCCGCGGGUGGGCGAGUGGAUAUGCGGGUUACUCGUAAUUUUUUUUUUGUUCUUAUAUUUUUAAAUGCAAAACACAUAUAUAUAAGUUUUAAAAGCGUAAUAUAACUCAUUGUUUAAAAUACCAUAACAUAUAAUAAAAAUAUUUAAAGUCUUAAAGUAAAAAUAUUUCAUAAUAUAAAAGACACGCAAUAAGAAAUUAGGAUUAGAAUUUUUAAGAUGAAUAAAUAAAAAAUAUAUAUUAAUUAAGAAAAUAUAUUUUAUAACUAAAAAAUAUAUGUGCGGGUACUCGUGGGUACCCGCGGGUUACCCAAAAUGCCCACUGCUUAAUGGGUGGUACUCGUGGGUACCCGCGGGUUACCCGUAAUUUUUUAGGUUGGAAAAGUUGGUAUCCAUACCCGUAAAUUUGUGGGUAACCCGCGAGUACCCGUGGGUUUGGGUCAAGAUUGCCGAAUCUAAUUGCUAGUAUAUAUAUGUGUGUGAGAGAGAAUGAAGUGGAGGGUUGGGGAACAGGUGUCACCCUGAGGUUCCCCCAACUCUCUUUUAAUGUAACAGAAAUAGAUUAGCGCCACAUUUACUAUAAAUUAAAUUUAAAAAAUUAAAAUGCCAUGUAUCUUGUAAUUCGAGGACCAAAAGUGUAAUCUAGCCUUUUGCUUUUGCGCCAUUUUAAUUUAAAAAAUACUAGCAAUAUAUUCCAAAAAAAUCAAAUCAUACAUCUUACACCUCUGAUCCUAUAAUUUGUAAAAUUUAUAUUGUGUAAUUUGUAAAUACAAUAACAUUUUCUUUUGUUGGUUUUUUUUGGAGGAAAAUAUGUAUUAGAAUUAUGUGAACUUUGGCCAAAUUGUAAGUAAUUAUAUUAACUGUAUAAAUAUUAAAAUUAGCCAUCUAAAUAAUAAUAAAUUUGAAUUCCAACAUCAAGGUUGUGUUUUCGUCAAUUCGUAAAAUGGAUUACGACGAAAUUGCUGUUCAAAUGAUAAUUUUUAAUGUCUUAAAAAGUCAGGAUAAUGAAUUAUAAUUCGACACAAGUUUAAAUAAUAUUGUGGCUUCUUUUUUUUUUUUUUUUAAAAAAAAUCUUAUAAGAUAUUUUAGACUUAGUUUGAAACCACUAACACUUUUUAAUUUUUCAUUAAACAAAAAUUUUAUACGAUAAUGCUUAUCUAAACUAUGGACCAUUUGAUUUAGCUAUCCAAUUUUUUAAAAUUUUAAUUUUAUUAUUCAAAAUUUUAAUUUGUUUGAUUUGAGUUUGUUAACAACGCUUUAACUUACAAAAUUUAAAUAUAUUGUUUAUCUUUAUAUAUUUAGUUAGUAUACUUCAUGCAAUUUUAGCAACUGUAAAUUUAUUAAAAUAAGUAAUUAGCUUAAAUUUUAAAUUCAAAAUAUCGUUGACUAUCUCAAAUCAAAUAAAUUUAAAAAAGUUGGAUAGUAAAUCAAAUUUUGAAAGUUUGGAUAGCCGAUUUAAAAUAGUCGAUAGUUCAAAUAAGUUUUAUAUGUUUUUACCUAAUAAUUUCUACUUUAUUAAUAUUACACUAUAUAUCUUUCUCACAAACAUAUUCGGUCAUUCAAAACAAAUAAUUAAAAAAUCAGGUUGAACCGGCUGGUCAACCGGUUCGAUCGUGACCCAAUCUAUGAAAUGGUUCGGUUCAAUUUUUUGAGCCGGAGAAGACAAAAAACUAUUUUGAACCAUUCGAACCGACUUUCAACUAUCGAAUUGAUGAACUUAUUCGAUUUUAAUCAAACCGAGCUACCUUUACCAGUCAAGUCAUAUUAAAAUCCAACAGUUUAAAGUCAAAUUAGCUAAUUUUAUUUUCUAUUAAUACAGAUUAGUUUUAUAAACGGUGAAAUUUAGAACUUUGUAUUUACUUAAUUCGGUUUAGAAAUUAAUAUUUUAUAAUUAAGUAUGAUAUUAGAAUAAUAAUAUUACAUUUAUGUAUAUAAUAAAAUUUAAAAUAAUAAUUAAAUAUUUAUGGCAUUAUACUGACGUAACUAGUGAUUCUUGACCCAAUAAUAUUUUAUAUCGCUGUUACCUAAAACUCUCUUCUUUUGCACUUUCUCUCUCUUACCAAUGUAUAGGAACAUUCGAAUACUUGAAUUGGAUGGAAUUACUUUUUUUUUUUUUUAUUGUAUGGUAACUUAUUAGCAAACAAUGUUGUUUUUGAUUUUAUUGAGUAGAUUUUGAUAAAUAUAAGCAUCCAACAAUUUGAGACUCAAUUUAAUACAAGUCCGUUGAAACGGCCCAACACACGGCAUCGUGCUAUCACAGAAAUUCUGAUUUGGAGCUUCUGCAGUGACGUGUUAAAUCGUAAUAAUGUGCAGACUGAAUCGCUUCACAAAUGUCGCAUGCUGAAUACAGAACUUCUGGAACCGCAUAUUCCACCGCACAUAAGAAUCUGAAUAAAAUAAUUGUCUAUAUAAUUUGAAUUUUCAAAAUAUAGGAAGAUUUAUCAAUCCAAAAAUAUAUAUAUGUGUGUGCUAAAAAAAACACAAUAUAAGAAGAUUUUUGAGUCAUAUAUGUGUGCAAAAAAACACGUUGUACCUCACACGUGCGACGCCAAAAUAGGACGAAAAGAGAAGGUACCUCACACGCGUGGAGGGUACGCAGAGUAUACGGCGUUUUGUUACACGUGAUAAGAAUUUAUUAAAAGAAAAUAAGAAAAGUGAAAAAAAUACUAACGGGCCCCUCAACUAUAUAGAUCGAAAUAAAAUCCCCAACUAUAAUUUUUGAUUUUUUUUUUUGUUAAACCAUUUAUUUUUAUUUCUGACUAUAUGUGCUUCGCUGCGUGUCUUCAAAUAUUUAUAUUUAUAAUUAAUAAAAAGGCUCGCGAACUGCAAAUAAACCUUAUCCUUUCGCGCAUUGAGCGUAAUAUUUGUUUUGCGAACUGUGCUGACAGUUGAAGGUUUCGGGCGCUGACACUUUAUUAUAAAAGAUUUGUACUCACUUAGUAUGUUUCGUACAAAUGUCUUUACGUGUAGAGAAGAUGUGAGUCACCAUUCGUCAGCGCAUUUGAAGUGAGAAUUUGGAGCUUCUCAAACUAAAAUGGGAGGAAUUUAAUAACUUGGAAGGAUUUUGGUACUUCCUUUUGUUACGUAGCAAUUUAUGGAAAAUGGUAAGAGCAAAUCAUAUUUAGAUUUAGUUUUUAACCACUUUACUUCUACAAUUUUGUUUUCUUUUUUUUCUAAAUGCAUUUUAAUUUCUACAUUUAGAACUAUAGCUUUUUCAAAAUAGAGCAUCCCACACAUAAAUUUUGAGCAAAACAAUAACUUUUUAUAUUGAGAUUAUCUGAUGCCUUAAUAAUUAUUUUCGAACUUUGUAAUUAACUAUAAAUAGAACUUUUAAAUAUUAUAAAUUAAAGUUUCCUUAUUUUUACAAUAUCAUUUCUAGAUUUAUUUCGCCACGAAAUAAAUAGUGGCUCUUGCUCUUCAAAAAUUUACAACAGAUAAAAAGGUAAUUUUAUGUACUAAUUUUUUUUAAAACUAAAAUUAGAACCAAGUAGGUUUAACUAAUUAUAGUAAUUUUUGAAACUCAAAAGAGAAUUGAGUCCAAGAAUAAACUAAACUUAGGCAAUAAAAAGGGAACAAAUUGAAAUAUAAGAGAAAGUGGGGGGCUAUGAAUAAAGUUUUAAUCUAUUCCACGCAAAAAUUGAGAUUUCACAUGCGAUUUCACAUGCAAAGCGUGGUAUCUUUCUUACUGAUUAUUAUAUGACGUUAAAGGUUUUCAGUGUUGACACCUCAUUGUUGAGAAUCUGUACUGAUUUGGUACGUUUCGUACAAGUGUUUUUACGUGUAGAGGAGGUGUGAGUUGGCAUUUAUUAUCGCAUUUGAAGUAUAUAAGAAUUUUGAUUAUUUCUUAAAACUUAAAAGUGAUGAAAUUUAAUGACCUCGAAAGAUUUGGCAAUUCUUUAUUGUACAAUUCUUUGGUAAGGUAAAAUUUUGAAAUUCUACAAUAGUGGAAGGUAUCAGGAAUUAAAAUAGAAAAUUUUACCUUGAGAGGUCUAAAACUAUAUGGUCAAACGUAUUGAAAUGAAUAAAAUAAUAAUUAUCAAAUAUAAUAAAAGUAUAAUCGUUUCUAAGCAAAUAUUGGGAUUUCACGAACAAAGCGUUAUAUCCUUCUCACUGACUACUACAUGAGCAGUUAAUGGUUCGAGCAUUAACAUCUUAUUGUUGAGUUUAGUAUCAACUUAGUACGUUUCGUACAAAUGUUUUUAUAUAUAGAAGGGGUGUGGUUCAGCAUUUAUUAUCAUACAUGAAGUGAGAAUUUGAAUCCUUCUUGAAAAACAAAGAUAGAUAAAAUUUAAUGACUUUGCGAAAUUUGGUAAUUCUUUAUCUUAGAACUCUUUAAGGAAAGUGAUAAGAUAAGAUUGGUCUUAGAAUCUACUAAAUUCACUUUUGUUUCUGCAUUGAAUGCUUAUAAUUUUUAAUAAAAACUUGAAAUUCCACCACAGUGGAAGGUAACAACAAGGAAGCAAAAAUUUUAUAUAUCUUGAGAGAUCCAAAACUUUUUUACAUAAUUUUUUGGUUAAAAGUACAUAAAAUUAUUAUCAAAUAUUAUAUAAUUUUUUGGUUCAUUUGAUGUAAAAACUUUUUUACAUAAUUUUUUUAAAAUAUAGUUUUCUGGGGGUUCCAAUAAUCCCAUUGCGCUUAAAAAAGUAAAAAAUUCAAACUCAAAAAUAAUACUCAAAAGUAAAUAAAAAAAUUCUCCAUGCGGUAAGAAUCGGAGAAAAAAGAUCCAUAACAUUUUGUUCCGCAUCUUUAAGUCCCUAAAUUCAAAUGAAAAAGAAGGUUAAAUUACAGAAAACUUUCCUGUCAAAAUGCGAUUUUUUACUUUUCCACCAUUCAUUUAAAAACCUACACUUUGCCCAAUUGUAAAAUAAAAAAUGUGCACUUCGCUCCUACCGUUAGUGAUCUGUUAGGAUUUCGUUAUAAAAUUUUUUUUAUGCCUAAAAUAUUCCUCUGCCUUUUUUCCUGUUGCUUCGCCUUCCUCGGCAUUACUCCGCCUCGCCGCCUCGCCCUCCUCCACUGCCUCGCCCUCGCCCACAUCCCUGUCCGCUCCCACAAACACCCCUUCGCCCUUUUCCGCAGCCUCGCCUUCGCCUUCGCCCUCAUUGUCGUUACCCACCUCUCCAUUCAUCCCCACCUCGAUUUCCACCCUACUAUCGCCGAAAUCGAGAGACGGCGAGGGUGCAGGAGGAAGAUGAGGCGUGAAUUGCGGAAAAAUCGCGGCCGAUCGAGGCGUGAACCGCGGCCGAUCGAGACUGCUGUUGAGAAAGAUAAGGGGAAAGACGAAAAUAAUGAGGGGCAAAAUAGUCAUUUUAUCAUCACAGUACACACCGUACCCCCUCUGUUAAUAUUUUUUAUUUUACAGGAAGAUAAAGUGUAGAUUUUUAAAUGACAAAAAGAAAGUAAAAAAUCAGAUUUUAACGAGAAGAUUUUAUAUAAUUUAGCCAAAAAAAAAAAAGAUAAUCAGGGCCAAUCUUAUUAUAGGAGAAUACAGAAACUAUCGAUAUAUAUUAUGCUUUUUCUUUAUUGGCUGUAAUCAGUGUCGAUACCAAUCAGAGAGCGCGCAAUUCCAUAACUUAAUAGAAGGUCAGAUCUCACAUGCAAAGUGCUGUAUUUUUUUUUUAUAUAUAUACUCAAUAUGAUACAUCGAAGGACUUCGAGCGUUCAUAUAUAGCUCAUUAAAUAAAAGAAAAAAUUUCAAAUACCUUCCUUAUGGUUUCACUCUUUUUCACUUUAGUACUCUAUGAUUUAAAGUGUAUCAAGUUAGUACUUUAUAGUUUCGCACUUUCUCACUUUAGUACCCCUGUGGUUUAAAAACUAUAGGGUACUAACUUGAUACAAAAAUAAAACUACAAGCUACGAUAUAAAAAUAAAACUAUAGAGUACUAACUUGAUACACUUUAAACCACAGGAUAUUAAAGUGAGAAUGUGCGAAACCAUAAGAUACUAACUUGAUACACUUUAAAUCAUAAGGUACUCAAAUAAAAAAGUGCAAAAUUACGGGAAAAUUUUUGAAGUUUUUUCUAAAUAAAAUUUGUAACCGUGGGAUUCACAACUGCAUGCUUGUAACGUUUCGCACAAACAUUUUCACAUGUAAAGGGUUAGUGGGCAUUUGUCGUCACAUUUGAUGCGAGAGUUUGGAGCCUUUCCAAAAAAAGACAAUAGAGAAAUUUAAUGGCUUCGAAAAAUUUAGUUACUCUUUAUCGUGCAGGAUUGUGUUGCUUUUAAUGAAAAGAGGAGGGAUGAGAAUAGUUUAUAUAUAUAUAUAUAUAUAUAUAUAUAUAUAUAUAUAUAUAUAGUGAGGCUACUAUACUAUCGGAAGCACGGAGCCUUCCGUGCUUCCACCUCGUUUUCGAUGUUGAGCCACUUGAAAUUCUAACAUCUAACGAUCAUAAUUUAAUUUGUUUAUAUAUAUAACAUUAUCUAUAAUUGAUACAAAAUAUGUCUAAUAGUUUAAAGUACAAAAAUAAUAUAUAGAAUAUAGUUUAUAAUAUGAAAAAAAUAAUUUAUAAGUUGAAUAUCUAAUCUUUUCACCUCACAUGUUUUUCUUCCCACCUUCAAUCUCCAUAUUAUUCAUAUUUCAUUUAUGCAGUCAAAAAAUAAUAAUAAUAUAGAUAAAUAUUGGAUUAAACUAUCUAAUCAUAUAUACAAAAAUUAAAAUUUUAAUAUAAUAAUAAUUUUUUUACUUUAAAAUAUUCUGUAUAUUUUCUCAAGCAUACAAUUAAUAGCAAGAUAGCAACGCAGGCAUAUGCUGUUACUUGGUAACUUGAGGAGCUUCACUUGGCCGCUUAGGGUGAGAGAACAAAAAAAGAGAAAGAAGAAUAUAUUGAAAUUUAGAAUUCUGUGAAAGAAAAAAAAAAGACAAAAUGGUAUAAAUUAGUAAAAUUUGCUCUUUAUUGUCUAUUUGGUUUGUCUUUUAUGGCAACAAUAUUGGCCCCAAUUUUUAACACUAACUCAGGAUUAUUCACUAGCCUAUAUAUAAUAUAAAAUAUAUUAUAGUCUUAAUAUAUUUUUAUAUAUAUAUAUAGUAUACGAACCUAACUAUGCCUAUCGAUCAAUAUAGAGAAUUUGAUGUUUUCGAAAUUUUGACCUUUUGAUUAAGAAUUAAUAUGGUUGGGAUGAUUGCAGUCCUCCCUAAGAUUAAAUAAUAGUCUCUGGCAUUGAGUGGGUCCUACAAGAUAAUAAUAGAUUUAAAUUUCAAAGAAAUGAUUAAGGUUUGAUUAAGAAUCAAAAAAUCAAAAGCAACCAUAUCCCUCUAUACUUUCGAUAGUAUAGUAGCUCUAUAAUAUAUAUAUAUAUACCUACUAUACUAUACUAGAGAGAGAGAGAGAGAGAGAGAAGAACUAGGCUACUAGCUAUUAAUAGACCAAAGUCAUUUGUGCUACCAAGUUUUUGGCCAUUGGAUUAAGAGAUGUGUGGUUAGGAUGAUGUGGUCCCCUAGGGUUGAGGUGGGUGUUGUUGCGUAGUAUGAUCUAACGGUGUGAAAAUAAAUCAAAGGGUAUAUCAACGGCGAAAACUUGGUACACCAAGGUAUUUCGUGCUAUUAAUAGCAUAGUAGCACCGGACACUCUCUCUCUCUCUCUCUAUAUAUAGGUACUAUUGCACUUUUCGAGCGUUCUUCGAGUCUAAUGUCGAGACGAGGCCGAUAAUACUGCAAACUUUCGCUUUGAAAUGAAUGUCGAGCCCUUUUUUUUUUGUUCAAGGCUCGGCUCAUUUGAGAUGUUCGAUCGAAGUCGACGAUGCCAAAUAUGAGUCGAGACUGCAGCUCAGCUUCCUUUCAUUGUUUUGCAGCCUUUAGGUGAAUACUUCUAAGCUCUAAUUUUAUAUAUAUUGAUUUAUUUAUAUUUUAUUUUUUUAUUUUUUAUUUUAUUAUAUUGAUCUGUUGUUUUUUUAGCUACUAGGUUGAACUAAUUUAUAAAGUCCUAGGGUAGUCUAUUUUUUUAUAAUACACUGUUUAUGAUCUCGCAUUGCUCUCUCAGCGAGGCUAUCUCGAUGUCUUAGUGUUUUCUUUGAUUGUUGCUGUAAUAGUAUAUCUUGGAAAAAUAUUAUAAAAUUUGUUUUUCAGUGUUACUCAAAUUACUUCUAGAUCAUUAAACAUGCUGUAUUCUAUUCUAUUCAAUUAUAAUUUUUUCUCUAAUCAUUCUGUAAAUACUGUGAGUCUUUGUGAUAUCACGGAAGUUUGCUCCGUGCUUUCCGAUAGCAUAUCUGAGCUCACCUCUAUAUAUUAUAUUAUAUAUAUAUUAUAUUAUUAUUUUUUUAUUUUAUAUUUUUUUUUAGUCUGAUAGUAUCACCUAGGCUUGGCAUAUGAAGUUAUGUCCUUGGUCUGCGUUCUGACUUAAAUUAUUUGCUCGCUCAAUGCUCGACUCGAAAAUUAAAUGUAGCCGAGCUUAUCAAUAAAAAAAAUAGCUCGAAAUUCAUUUCAAGCCUAGUUUGAGUAUUACUCGCUCGUUCGAAUAGACUCGAAAACCUCGAAAAGCUCGAAUAUAUUAUAUAUACGAGAAGAGAGAGAGAGUGUCCGGCUACUAGUAUUAAUAGCACGGAAAAUAUUGGUGCUACCAAGUUUUCGCCGUUGGAUGAUACCUUUUGAUAUUCACCCGGNNNNNNNNNNNNNNNNNNNNNNNNNGUGACGACAGUGGCUCAAUGAAUCAACUGCUGAAUAUAUUAAAUAUCUUAAAAAUUAAUUAAUUAUUGACAUUAAAAUUUAAAUUCAAUUAUUGAUCUUGUUAUAUUAUGUAUAAUAUUUUUACUAUCAAAAUUUCAUGAGUAGUUGGUAUAUUUUUUUACCCUGUUUUAAACUUGCAACGGAUUCACUACGCCAUUGAAAUUUUGUUGAUUUUGAGCCAUCUCUAUCUAGCUAAAUGAUACGAAAAAUUUAUUAAUAAAAUUUAUUUUCUAGGUACUCCAGAUUAUCCUAGGAUCAAGAUUAUAACGCGACGAAUGCAUCGUUUUUUGAAAGUUCUGCGUUUAGGGCUCGAGCUCGCUCGACUCGAAAUUACACUCGCUCGAGCUCGGCUCGAAUUAAUUUCAAUCCAAGCUUGAGCUUAAAUUUAAGCUCGAAAUUAAUUUCAAGCCGAAUUUGAGCCGAGGUAAGCUCGCUCGAGCUCGGCUAGUUUCCACCCCUAGUAUCACCUCUUUGGUGCUUCUAGGUUUCUAGCCCUUGGAUCUACUCCUUAAUUACUAAUAGCCCUUAGAUUAAACACUAUUCUACCUACCACCAUCUACCACCAUCAUUUAAUUAAAUAGAGAAACAAAGUUUGUUUCAUAAAAAUUUAUAAUUAUUUUUUUUUAAAUAGAAAAAACAAAAAGAGAUAAGAUAAUAAAACAAAAUUAGGGACUAGUCCAAACAAAAUGCACGAUACUCGCAUCAUACUGUAAAUAGUGAAUGUACGAGGGCUUUAUUUAAAAUGUGGUCAAAGCAAACUGGAUCUCCACGUGGCAUCGACAGUGAAAUCAUUUAAUUACAAUUACGUCCCUCCAUUUUGUACGGUGUUUAUCCAUAAACUUUAUCUCGAGCGUAAAGUACUCUCUUAAUAUCGGAACAAAGUGCACGGAGACCCCUCAAUAUAAGUGAAUUUGAAAAUAAUAAUUAGCUAAUUUUUUUUGUUGGAUUUAACUUCUAAUUUUUGUUGAAUUGGAACUCUAACAUUUAAAAUUUAAUUACUUUAAAAUUUGUUAUCCAUUUUUAUAGCUUAAUUAGUUAUUAUCAGUUAGGUAAUAAUCUAUUUUUACUCUCUAUGAAGUAGUUUAAACUAUUAAAUUUUGUCAAAUUAUCUCUCAAUUUGGCAAAAUCUCAAAUCUCUAUUGCUAAUUAAGUGUCGAGGGGUCUCAAAUUUUUUUUAAAAAAGUCCAAGAGUAUUUAUUUGAAAUAUAAAUCAUUUUGGAUCUACUCUCUAACCAUUUAAAAUUUAAUUUUAGUUUUAAUUUUCAAUUUAUUUAUUUUGAGUCGGUUAACGUGUAUUUUGACUUUAAAAUUUAAGCUCAUAUAUAUUUUAUUUUAAUAAAUUUAUGGUUACUGAUUAAAUUUUUAAAAAUAAAAGAUAUAUUCAAAAUUUUAAAUUAAAAUACUAUUUAUCGAUCUAAAUCAAAUAAAUUAAAAGACUAGGUUAUAAAAUUAAAAUUUUAAAAAAAAUCCUACGGUGAAGAUCACCAUGCAAAUCAAAAAACCACAAAAAAAAAAGAAAAAAAAAAAGAAAAAGGAACAGUAGUAUCCAACGGCUUCUUUAUUUUUGUUCUCCAUGGUCCUUUUGAUCGGACGGCUGGGAAAGUACUUAAGUGCCAGUUGGAGGGACGAGUACCGUUGAAAGGACGGCUGUGAUCGUACCAUUUCGGUGAUGAGUAGAUUUUGUCGCGUACCUUUUGACUUUUGACCGGUCCAUAUAACUGUGCUCAUCACCGUACAUUAUUCAAGGGGUUGAAAAUAGGAUUGUAAACGAGCCGAACACGAGCGAGUUGGUCUUAAUUGCUUGGAUUAUUUUCGAGCCAGAACAUAUUCAAACUAAAUACGAGCGGGCUCAAAAAGCACUUUUUUUUUGUGGGUUUUUAUUCUCGAGCUAAUUUCAAGUUAUGUUCUAUUUCGGUUUUAAAAUUUUCAAUUACGAGCCGGCCGGUUUAUGGGCCGAAAUUUUAUUUUUCUUCUUUUUAUAUAUAUAUAUAUAUAUAUAUAUAUAUGUAUAUAUAUAUAUAUAUACACACAUACACAUACGCUUGAGUUUGUCUCUGAUACUAUAAUAAAAAUUGUGUAUAGCGAUAUUUUUAAAUAUCGGUACAGAUCAAAAAAACGCCGCUGGCUGAAUUACCGACAUUUUUCAAAGUAUUACUAUAUAUGGGGUCGCUAUACGUGGGGCCGACUUGAUGUUUGACAUCCACUCCUCCAGCAACUUGUGGCGGAAGGACACGUGGCGAUCGUAACCUUCUACGGUCCUUGCGAGAUAUUCGGGGCCGAACUUCAACCGCCGGAAUACUACCUCGCUGGCUGCGGCAGUGAAGGAGGAGAAGGGGAGAUGGUGAAUAGAGGAACUUUUGGUUUUAGGGUGGAUGAGCUUUAUAUUUAGACCUUAGUAGAUUUAAAAAAAAAAAAAUUUGGUGUAAAUACUACACUUACUCAAAAGUGUCCAAAAAAUGUAUUCCUAUAACCUAAUUCUGUUGUAGUGUGAAUUAUUCGAUUGCAAGCUAGAAAUUUUCUUUUCUUCCUAAUGCUUUUAAUUAUAUAUAUAUAUAUAUAUAUAUAUAUAUAUAGAGUCCGGCUACUAUAUUAUCGGUAGCACGGGGCCUCCCGUGCUACCAAGUUGUUUUCGAUGAUGCGGCUUCUAAAUCGACGAUCGGAUCCGUUAGACUUGAUCUACACUAUUAAAAAUAUUUAGAAACUAAAUUUUAUAAUUUUUCGAUAUCAUUUACCUAUCAAACAAAUAGUCUAAAAUUGAGCGGCUGAAAAUAAAAAUUUCAUAAAAAAUGAUGAUAAAAUAUUUAAAUUCAAGAUCAGAUAUACUGAUCUUACUCUAAAUAGUGAAAAAAAAUUUCUAUAAAAUUUUCAUCUGAUUUGGAUUGUUUUACACCGUUAAACUCACAAACACGCCACAUCGACCAUUAAAAUGGUCAAUUUUGAGAUCGUUUGAUCACUAGUCAAAUGAUGUCGAAAAAUUAUGAAAUUUAGUUUCCAAAUACUUUUAAUAGUAUAUAUUAAGUCUAACGGAGCCGAUCGUCGAUUUGGAAGCCGCAUCAUCGAAAACAACUUGAUAGCACGCGCGGGACACACACACGCAUUAAAUUGCAUAAAAUUAGUGUUUAAAAAAUAAAAAGCAAACACAAUAUCAAAUAAAUUAGCCUUCGCUUUCAAAUUUUAUAUAUAUUUAAAAAGCAACCACAAUAUCAAAUAAAUUAAGCCUUCGCUUUCAAAUUUUAUAUAUAUAUAUAUAGAUUUGAAAUUUGAUUUCUAAAUACUUCAAGUGGUAUAGAUCAUGUUCAACGGAGCCGAUCAUCAAUUUGGACGCUCUAUCAUCGAAAACAACUCGAUAGUAAAAUGCCUCGUUUACUAUCGAGAGUAUUCUAGCUCAACUCUCUCUCUCUCUCUCUCUCUCUCUCUCUCUCUAUAUAUAUAUAUAUAUAUAUAUUUGGAAUAAACUGUCACGGGAUCUUAUUCAAGGUCUAAAUAAAGCCUUAAUUUGUAAUUUAUUGCUCGAGUUUUAUUUCGGUUCUUAAAUUUGAUUUUGUCACACUAAGAUUUUUGAACUUUGGAAAAAGAUUACCCACUCAGACCCAAAUUAUAGUUUAUGAGCCUUUUAAUUAAUUAAUUAUAGAUUUUGUCUCUCCAAUUGGAGGCAAAAGCUUAUGUGGAAGUAAAGAUACAUAGAAAUAUUUUAACAAAAGUUUGAGCUCUGUACUACAACAAAUCCAAGUAGUUUAGCAACUAAGCAAACCACUAAAAGGUAUAGUAAUACUAUGCUUACAAACAAAUUUUACAGCAUAUUACAAACUAGCAUGCGUGCCAACACUUAAUUGAUAGAGAAGCAUAAAUCACGAGAGAAAAAUGUGACUUAUAACUUAUUUCAAAAUUUUAUUUAAGAAAUCUUUAGAAUUUCUAACCACGAUCAAACCACUUGUUUAGACAUCAAAAUAUAGCGUCGUACCUCAAGUACGGUAUUAGCUAGCCGAAAAAAAUGACUAUGGCUUUGUAUAAAUACCAUAUUAAAUUAUAUAAAACGAUCAUUUUUCUUCAAAAGUUAAGCCGCCCGAAAAUGAUAUUUAUAAUAUUUAUAUUCAACACUUUUUUACACAUUUGGAUUCGAAACUUUUUAAUAGAUUUAAAACGUGGACUUGAAUUAAAUAGAAGAAAAUUAAAUGAUGCUAAUGACCGAAGAAUAAUACUUUUAAAUAAUGCGAAAAGUUUUAUGAGAUUUGAACUAAGAACCUGCUGUUCUGACACUGUAUUGAGUUAUAUAAGUAAAUCUUAUUCUGAUUCAACACCCACUACUCGAUUUUGCAUCUUUUUCCACUAUUAAAAAAUAGAAGCUUAGAUGAGGCCACACUCUUUAUCUUAUAAUAAGACAUUAUUAUUACUUAUCCAUUUCAACCACUUCUACACUAUUUGUGGAAACAAGUGUUGCUCGAAGGGCACGUGCCCUCAUGCACAACAAUUGGAUAUUAUAACUUUUAGUGCUACCACUCAAAGUAGUUUGAGCAAGGCUCACUUACACAUAAUUGCAAACCUAGCAAGCUAAACCCUAAGCCAUGAAGUAGAGUGCCUCUCCCAAAUGCACUUUCAACAAAUGCCAUAAGAGGAGGUUAGGCAAUUGUUAAAAGAGGCCCCCCACCCACACUUGUGACAACUCCAAAAGCCAAAAGUUUUGGCUUGAUUUGAUUGAGAUGUUGAAAUUGCAAAAGGAAGGAAAAGGACACUACAUAAUAUAGUAGAGAAGGACUACUUGUUUAAGCAUGCUUAGCUACACCAUAACAUGACCCAAAGUGGAAAAGGGUUCAUAUUCUAAAGAGAAAAUGAAUACAAUAUAUACAUUCAACUCUUCUUUUCUUUUCUUUACCUUUUUUUCCCUCAUUGAAAGGACUUAACAUGCAACAUCGAUGGCGCCCCGAUUAAAAAGAGUUAAAAUAUCGCACAUAACUCGUUAAUAAUACUUCAAUUAUUUUUUAAAAAAAACUUUAUAUGCUUACAGAGAUAUUAUCAUUAAGCAUAAAUCUUAUACACUUAUGAGUACGGAGUACUAUUAGAUCAUCGAUUUGAAAGUUUUAUCAUCGAAAAUAACUUAUGAGUACGAAGAGCUCUAUACUCAUAAGAGUAUAGUAACCCUACUCUCUCUCUCUCUCUUUCUCUCUCUCUCUCUCUAUAUAUAUAUAUAUAUAUUUCGCUGUGAAUUAAGAAUGAGAUAUAAGUCGACACGAUCAGAAUUAAUGCUACACGCUUUUAUACUUUCAACAGAUCCCAAAGUAAUUUAGCAAGAGAGAGGAGUCUGGGUCAAAGUAUUCUAUCAACUUGUGAUGCUGCUUUUGUCGUAUAAAUUGGAAACUUUUCUCAUGCAUAUGAGGAUUAAAAAGAUUUAAGUCAAGCAAGAGGAAUCUUUACCUUGAAGCUCAUACUUUGACUACACUCAAAGUUCUUUUUUUCCCACAUGCCCUAAUUAUCUACUGAUUGGGACUUUGAAAAUAACUUGAAGUGAGAGAGAGAGAGAGAGAGAGAGAGAGAGAGAGAGAGAGAGUCUAAUGAAGGUCACCUAAGAUAUCAUAAGCUUGCUGAAAAAAGAAGUAACACUUGAACCAACAAAACCUGCAUACAAAACUAGUUAUGUAGAAGUACUUGGUCUAUUUUCCUGUUUGGGGGAGGAAAUUAGCUUUUGAUUGGUUACACUCUUUUCCUCCCAAUGAUGUGAUCAUUGAGCAACUUAACUUUCAAGUAAACAACUAAAAAGAUGGAGGCAUUGCACCAUUUUCACUAAUGCCUCCAAUCAAUCAACUCAUGUCCCAUCAUUUUACUAAUUGAUCAAUACAAUAAUUGAACAUAAAGUAUCAAUUUAACUCAUUUCUAUGACAUGAAUAAUUAAAAUUUCAGAUUACAGAUAGAAUGUAUUGCAUGUAUGCAGUAAUUGUUUCUACAAGCAAUAUUGUGAUACACAAAUCGAACGAAUCGAGUUGAGAUAUUAUUUUAAUGCAGCCAUCGAAAAAUGACUUUUUUUUUUUUUAUAUUCUUUUGUCUUGACUUGUUUUGAAUCUUUUGAUCCAAUAAUGUUGGUCAUUCUUCAAUAGCAAAGGGGUUUUAAAGAGUAGUUAUAUGCAACAAAUUAAGCAUAUUAUCUCGAUAGAUCUAUUCCAUAAUCAUUUUAAAGUUUAAAUGUUUAUAUCAGAUAAGCAGGUUUUUUUUUUUUUUUAUAAAAGAAAUAGCCUUUCAAAAUUUGAAAUUUAGAUGUGCAAUUUUUGAUAAAACUUAUUUAAAGAUAUGACUCUUUUCUCGACAUGUUUGCAUCACGAAAUUAAGUGAUGACCGAAGAAAAUUAUUAAGAUGGUGAAUUGUUCACUGCUUUAUAAAAUUCGUGAACGGUUCACCCUCUCUUUAUCAUAUUUUCGAAGAGAAAAGUUGAGAAAAUAGAAAAUCCCAAGAGCAAAAAAUGAUUUACUGUCUUUAUUAGAGAAAAUUAGAGAAAUGAAGGAUUACGAAAAACAAUAAACAACUUACCGCCUUUCUAAAAUUUUCGAAAUGCGAAAAGUAGUAAACGAUUUACCGUUUUCAAAUUGUGCAAAAAAUAAGAAUAUUGAUAAAGUGGCGAAUCGUUUACCGUACCUCUUUCUUCCUGCUCUACAUAAACUCAAUCCUGCAUAUUGCAGAUGUAGUGAAAAUAAGAUUAGAUCUUCAAAUAAAUUUUACAAAAAAAAAUAAGAUUAUUAAAUAUGAAAAAAAAAUUAAAGUCAUUAUGAAAGAAAGGCAUAAGAUGAGAACUUUUCAUUAGUGGAGAAAAGUUUAUAUUGGUAGACAAGAUAGAUGGCUUAAUAAAAAAAAAGCACCUAAUAAGCUAGCCUUUUGGCUUUAGGGAAAAGCACUUUUUUCCCCUCCCCUACAUAGCAUAAGUAGGCCUAACAUGAGAGGAGUGAGCUUGGGACAAGUGUUUUAGUGUACUCCAAUUUGUGAAGAGUGCUCCAACCACUAGAACCAAUCAUGGAUGUUCACAUCACAUUCAAACAAUUGGAAUCUUGGUUGGAAUAUAGGAAAAAAAACAAAAAAAGAAGAGGAGAAAUUGAUAUGAGACAUCUACUAGGGUUAGUUUUUUUGCAUUACCACAUAUCCAGUAGAAUAAAAAAGAGUAAGUUACCAUCACAUCAUGAUGUAUUGAUAUGUGUCCAUUAGUUAGUACUUGAUGAACAUGGUCAAUGAUGAUCCAAAUGUAGAACUUCUUAGCCCUUGAUUGAUUGAUUUACUGCAUGUUUUGAGUGCUUCUCUGAUUCGACUUUUUAAUAUGACUUCGAAUUAUAUCAUAAUAUUACAAAAAAAACUCUAAUUUUAAAGUUACUACGAACUGUUAGCAGUAGUUUCAAUUGUCGUAUCAUUAGCGCUAACCAUUAAUCCCAAAAUCUCGAUCUGUUAGAAAUACGUAACCAAUUCACUUAAAAUGUAUAAAUACAACACCCACGAUUUUCGAUUGUAAUUUGGCUCAUUCAGCCUCACGUCACUUCGCACAUGACUCGGCAUGACUCGGCCUAAUCCAGUUUCACGUCAUUUCGAAUGUGACUUGGCCCACUUGGCCUCCCGCCACAGGGCAGGAUGCUGACCCAUUUAAGCCAACAAUCUCCUCUCCAGUAUCUGCACACAUUUGCAGCAUGUGGGAAUCGUUCCCCCCUCCAAAUCCUGCAUAUAUUUGCAGCAUACGGGAAUCGAAUCUGCGACCUAUGGCUCUGAUACCACUUGUCGGAUCGUUGGCGCUGACCAUUAAUCCCAAAAGCUCAAACUGUUAGAAAUACGCAACCAAUUCACUUAAAGCGUACAUAUAUAGUGUUCACGGGUUUUGAUUGUGAUUCGGCCUAAUCAACCUCACGCUACUUCGAACAUGACUCGGCCCAAUACAGCCUCACGCCAUUUCGAACGUGACUCGGCCCAUUUGGCUUUCCGCCACAGGGCAGAAUGCUGGCUUAUUUAAAUCAACAG